rnacentral:lncRNA from 1 species
CACACACCCACUACACCAUUCAUCACCAAUCAUUAAAAUUGUUAAAAAUAUUAUCACUGACUGUCCCGAAUAUUGUUAUUCUCUCUCUCUAAAAAGAUUCAAUGCAGAAAAGGCAUGGGUUAUGCAAAAAUAUGCGAGGAAACAAAAAGGGGCAAGUGCCCGGAACCUCGAAAAAGAAAGAAAAAGAGUGAGACGAGAGGUAAAAAUGGACAAGUGUCCGAAGUAGAAUUAGGGAUACAAAGACGCCCACUUGAGCGGAAAAAAUGGACAAGUGUCCGACAGUAGAAUUAGGGGUAUCUACUACCCACCUGAAAAAAAGAGAAAAAGAUAGCCCAUGUUCUCCCAAAGCAAAGAUCAAAGAGGAGGAGAGAUAGCAAUAUGAGGGGCAAUGAGAAGUAAGUUUUAUUAUCACUUAUAUAUCUUCCCCAUCACUAUCAUUUACUCCAUCACACAUGCACAUCUUGAUUUAAUUAUAUGCUGAGUUCCUUUGGAUCCAUAGCUCGAUUAGACAACAUAUGUAUGAGCUGUUUUUCACUCCUAUGAGCUCCACUUAAAUAUUCCAUUAGCUAUAGGUAAGUGACAUUAUGGUAAGGAUCCACAAAUAUCACAUAUAGAGAGACUUGAGAGAUCAUUGCUGGGAACUCUGAGUUUUAUUUUGAAAACUUAUGAAAAACUCUGGAACAAAGGUGAAGUAUAGACAGGAGAAAUAGUGCUUGACUUAAUUAUUUUGUCUUUCAAUAAAUUAAGACUUAAGUGCGGGUUCUAAAACUCCAUUACACUUCACUCUAAUCUGGAAGAAAUUUUAUGUAAAAGCAUGUGUGCCUGUCAGGAAAGAAAACAUCAAAGCAACUCCUGAUCCAUCUAAGUUUAGCUAUUUGCUCAGGGACGAGCAAAGGGUAAGCUUGGGGGAGUUUGUUGACAGUCCUUAAGUACUAAAAUUAAUAAUCAAAUAAACAUGGAAAAGGAUCAAUAUGAAACAAACAUCUAGAAUUAGGGUUUUAUCUGACAGAAUUCCACGAGCUUUGGUGUUUAUCUAUUUCUGCAGGGGGUUAUCAGAGAAUAUGGAGAGAAGGCCCACAUGUCAUGUUUACAACGAGAUAAUUAUGUGCCGCGCAAUUUUCUUCAAUCUAGAAGAGUCCAGAAGCCACGGGAACGAACGAGAGCACGAUCGGGCUCGGGGGCAGGGCGCCCGCCCACCCCCCUUGGGCGCCCGCCCAGGGUUGGAGUCCAAUCGGGACUCUGCUUUGGGGCUAAACUCCACCGACCUAAAGGAUCAAUCUAAACCACACAAUCAAUGUCGGUUUGAUCUGACGGCCCAAAUUCACACUCCACCCCUGGAGGAGAGAGGAGAAGAGAAGAAAUCAUUAUACAGAGGUAGCCAUCAAAGUUAGGGUUUAGAGCUUCUCUCCCACAGAGAAUUAGAAUUAGCUACUCCCUAAUCCUUCAAGUUUAGAGGUUUGAUUAGAUAGCAAUUAGAGAAGUAGAGCACUACGCUCUGGAUUCGGAUCUUCGGUAAUAAAGAUUGGUAUUAUUCAUAUCUUUCUCUAAUUCUUUAUUCUAAUUGCAUUAUGUCUCUAAUUAUUAUGUUCUUAGUUUGCUCUAGUUCUAUAUUUGAUAUAGUUCUAAUUGAUAAUGAGUUUAUGUAUAAGUUUGCAAAGCGCUUAGCUCUUGACGCGAGGGAGUUAGGUGAUAGAUCACAUGUGAGCGUGGUGCUUAGAUGUUAUUUAUCUGCAAAUGUAUCCUAUUGGCUGGGUCGUGUGGUAGUUUGCGAUAGUGACAGCUUCGUUGAUUCUUAUAUAGUCCACGCUCCGUUGAUAGGACAGGCAGAACCGGUAUUGUGGAGUAAGUCAUGCGAUGCUCUGAUUUACUUUAUCAAUGUUCCUUAUACAUGAAUGAAGAGUCUUUUAUGCUAUAUAUGAUCUUGUAGAUAACCAGAGUAGAUUAUGACUUAGUAGUUAGUAGAUAACUUAGAAUCCAUUCUCUAGAUAAUCCGACAUCACCUACAUAUAUGAGGAGUAGUCUAUUUUCUAAUCGCUGUGUUAUCUACCCAUGAACUUAUAAUUCAUUAUCUUUAUGGUUUACCCCCUGCUAAAGUAAGUGACUGUGUGACGAGUUUCUCAUUAGUAAUCAUGUUCUUGUAAGUUUAUCUCUGGUCUAUGCCUUGAUAGAUUUUGCCCUUAAUUUAAUCUCCUUAGUUCUCUCGAGCAAAAUUAUAAAUAACGAUACCUGGAAUACUUAUCCUGGUGAAAUGCUACAAUGAGGUGUUUUAUCUGUGCGCUUGCGGAUAGAAUAGAUUAUUUUCUAGAGAGCCUUUACAUUUAUAAAUACCUUUGUACACUCUGGCACCAUGCUGGGGAUGACAACCUAGUAUCUAAGUGGUGUUAGCUAGUGUCAACAAUGAGCAUUGCAUCAACAUAAGCAUCAUCAUGAUCACUCAUGAGCAUCAUACCAUGACCACAUGCCAUUUGCUACAUGUACUAUGUGAUUAAGUUGCUAUAUGACUUGCUAUGGUUGACUGUAAUGGGUGACUAAGGCAUACAAGUGUACAUUGUCUUCCAAAAUACUAUAAUCAUGUUUAGAACAUCAUUUUGAACAAAGUUCAUGUUGAAGGUUUUGGCCAAAAAUGUCUCUAAGUCAUGGUUAACCCUAGGUUGACCUAAUUGUCCCCCUAGACCUUCUUUCAAAGAUGUUUUAUGAAAAUAAUGUUAGAGACCUUGCAUGUCUUUGACACCUGAAACAAAGUUGUAGUAAAUUUCAUAAGCUAUAAAAGUUAGGUCAACGACUGUUUAUGAAAAAGCAUAGAACACAUCCAAAAUUUACUCACAAGCCAAAAAUCAGGGCUUAUUUCACACUUAGCCGAAUUUGGCUAAGUCUUGAAUCAGCCAGUUUCGACAUAGGGUGAUUGGGAGCAUUGUAGUUUGAAAUCCAGACUGAUUUAGACUAUGCUCGUGUAAUCAAACUUGUAGACCCCGUGUAGCCCUGUCCAAAGGAUCAAGUUUGAGCCAAAACCACCGAGUGAGCUGAGAGUAAAUCGUCGGUGAACUUUCGGUUUCACACACGGUCGACGACGACUGAAUCGCGCGAUUCGGUUUCGUCAGUUGCCGGCCGGCCGACGCGUGGACGACCCGUGGCGGCCGUACGUCGACGGCGACCCCGCCUGUCAGCCCCGACGCCUUCACUUGGACGCCACGACGCCACCCCGUGCCUCAGACGCGACAUCCACUCCACCAGAGCCUCCCAUUUCGCUCCGCCAACGCCUCGGUGAGCUCCGCCGCGUCUCGGUGAGCUUUUCCGGCCGCUCCACCGCGCCUCCGGCCAAACCAGCCCGCCAAAGCUUCCUCUACCUCGGCGUCACCUCUUUGGCCACUGUCGAGCACAGGUGAGGCGGCAUUGCCGAGCUCCGAGCCGUUCUUCCUCGCCGGAGUUCCGCCCUAGCUCACUGGCGACGUGGCCAGGCUUGUCUGCUCCACCAUUUCUCUCCAUUCUUGUUCCUAUCGCUUUCCCUUUGCUCACUGAUGCUCGGCGUGAAGCUCUACCGCGUCGCCAUUGCCUAGAUCCGCCGGCGCAACGCCGCGCAGCACCGCCGCUCCGCCAUUCCCGAUGGCGAACACCCUAGGGUCCAGUAGAGCGCGGGUAAAGUAGGUUAACAGAGUCGCCUUGAUGAGAGGAACACGUAGAUGCCCUUGGAUCCAACCGAGACCUCGCCGUCGUCGAGUUUCGCCGGCGACGAGCGUCUCCCCUGUGACCCACGUGUCAGUCUCUCCCUCUCACAUCCCUGGUCACUGUGUAGCAGAUUAUUUGCUGUUUUUGUAAAAUUCAUAUCUCGAGUUUUAUAGAUCCAAAUAACAUGGUUCCAAUUUUGCUAAGUUCUGGUAGUAAUCUAGUUGUUAAUAAAAAUAUGAAACAUACCAUGUUUUUGUGGAAAUAAAUAGAUAUAAUUUAAUCUUGGUUUAUUAGGAGGUAAUUAUAUCUUGAGAUCUGUUGAUCUGUUGGCCAUGCAAAUUUAGGGUGUUGUUACUAAUGAUAUGAAUAUGCUCUGAUAAAUUUAUCAUGAUUUUUGGAUGCCUGAUUGUGAAGUUAUAAAUAUUUCUUGUUCAAAUAGGAGUUUCUUGUGGUAUUUUUAAUAAAUAAAUUAUGAAUCCUUUGGUGGUGAAACUUGCUGAGUGUAGUACACAUGGGUAGACAAAGCUAGGAAAAAUCUGAAAUCUGUUGUUUGACACUUUUUGAUAGGGUUUCACAUUUAUGCCUUGCAUGCCUUGGCUAGCUUGUUAUUUUUGUAUCUCACAAGCUAGAUGUGCAAAUGCCCUGGGAAUUUUACAGUAUCCUUGUGUUAGCAUAAGUAGCUUGCUGUAAUUUUCUUAGGAAUUUCGGAGAAUUUGGAAUGCAUGUUCAUUAAAUCACCUUAAUAAUUAAAUAAAUGAAAAAGGUGAUGAUAGAAGUGAGUUUAGAUCUUGCCAUGAUGUUUUCUAGUGUUUCUUAGACAUGUUUUAUCUACUGGUGCAUUUGGAUUAACCCUUUGAUACAUUCUUGUUAUGUGCAAAAUAUUAUUUUUGCUAUUUAUGCCUUUCCUAGAGCAAUUCUGGGUAGCUGAUAGCAAUUGCUUAAGAGCUAUUUGAAGAUUAUGUUUUCUGGGAAACUUGUCUACAACAAACUUGUAGCUAACUUGCUUAUCUACUUCGUGUCCAAGUUUCAUGACAUCUGGUUGAGUAGUUUAAAAGUUAUGAAUGUUACAAGUAGCUGCUGCAAAGUGCUCGCUCUCUGGAUUUUCCAGGACAACCAGCCAACUUUGUAUGUUUUAGCUUAUUUAGGUUGGGAAUCAUUCUGGGACGUCUAAAAAGGAAUUGUAGAUAAUUUGCUAAGCUUUCCAGAAAGUAUUUACUUGCUUAGUUUGGCCAACUGAUGCUCGAGUUAUAGCUGAAACUUGUAACAAGUUGGUUUGUCUUUGAAACCAGUGACUGAGUAGGAGUAGCUAGGAUUGUUUAACUUGUCUAGUUAGCCUCUCUACCAGAGAAGAAGUAUGCACUUACUUUUUAUUACAUGAUUCACUUAAUCUUAGGAGUUAUGCUCAUGUUAUACCUUGUUUAUGCUGCUUUGGCUCUUCGUCGUGACAUCAUGCAUCAUAUGUGCAUUCUCUAUAUUUAUCUCCUUGUCAUGCAUACAUAGGUGUACCCAAGGGCGUGACCGUUUUGGAGUUCGAGCUGCCGGAACCGGAAGGACAGCAAGAAGAGCUACCUCAAGGAGCUGAGGAGGAGGACUUGCCGGAGUGCCCUGACCACCGUCCCUCUACUUACGUUGAAGGCAAGCCCCGUAGCAUUAUCAGCCUCCUACUAUUUUGUUAUCAUGUUCAGCUAUCAAUUGACUAUGGUUAUGUAUUGUUGCAUUAAGUGUUAGGCGUUGAUAUGACACCCUUGCUGCGUAAUGACUACCUUGUCCACCUCAUACCUUACCUGAGUAGGUCCAGGAUCGAAAUGAUGCUUAGCCAUGCUUAGCUCGGUAGAAGCCGGGUGAUUUCCUGUCACCUGCGAGAGAUAGGUGGAUGCUGAUCACGGUUGGCUAUAUUUGCUAUCGUGGAAAUAACCAUGUGCUAAUAAUGAACAUGAGACCGGGCGGGAUGACGAUAGUGCAGCAACAAGGCAUGGAGGUCUUGGGUAUGAAUCUAUCCCCGUCUGUGUCGAUUAAGGACUGAUUGAUGUAACGUCCUCGUGUCAUGUUGAACGCAUGCCUAACACUUAGCUGGCCGGAUAAGUCGUUCCGACCGCGAAGCCUACGAGUGCAACUCAGGUCGGAUACCCCGUUCUGUAUGAGUGCGCACCCCGGUUGGUAGUAUGUAUGUGCAGGGAGUCAAUGGCGUAAGUCCGAGGUGUCAGGUUAGAGUCCUGACCCUGGCAGAUUGGCGGUCCCUGUUGGUGCGGCGCUGGACGUACCCACGAAUUGGUCCGGAGUUGUGCUAAAGGUGAUCCGAGCUGCCCUCAUGAAGUAUGCUUGGGUGAGUGCUAGGAAUACUGUGGCAGAACCUCCUAAGUGUUUGGGCCCACCGACACCUGUCAUUGUCCUAAGGACCUCUGACGGUGAUGCCGGGGAUCCUCCCACUCUAGAAGUCCGAUGAGCAACUCAGGACGCUCAUUCCACCGCUACCUGUGGCGUAUCAAGCAGGCUCGUCCUGACCACUAGCGAUGGUCAAUUAACGAGAACUUCUUCUUCUCGCCCUUCAAGGAUAGCAAGUGGCCACCUUAACACCAGGAUCAUUCGUUGCGAAGACAUUGCGGUAUCACAAACGACAUAAGACCAAAAUAAUAUUUUAGAGUAAAACAGCGGAAGCAUUACAUAACUUAAUUUACAAAAGUAGUUCUUCCAAAUAGUAGAGUGUUAUUACAAGCCAUGUCCAGCGGAGCAACUUAAACUUUAGUACACAGAUUACAAAUUUAUAGACCCUGCCCAUGGGUCACGCUCACUCUUCUUCGUCGUCAAUCUCGACGACGGUCACACAACAGGGUCCGAAACAUGUCGGCUCCUGAGUACGGGAGUACUCAACAAGACUUACCCAGCGGAAAAAGAGGAGAAAAUUAGGGAUGCAGGCUUAGGGUAGACAAGGAGUGGUUGAGCAAGGAGCCAAAUUGUUUUGCCAAAAAGCUUACUAAUAGUGCAUCCUUACUUUCAAGUUUUACCCGCGAAUUCCUCUCCUUAAGAGGUCGAGGAGUUCGAGGACAGUCUAUCUAGUUGCUUCUCACAGACAAGUCUGUGAGUUCCUAGUCCUUAAUCAAAGUAUUUUCUAUCCAACGGCCAUAGCUUCAUGUCACUCUGAGUCCGGGAAUUGGGAUCCGAACCUCAUGAGACAUUUCCCCCUUUCUCAUUUUAUCACUUAGUUGCAUAUUUACUACGAUGAGGGUCGAAGGAAUUGAGUCUCCCAAUCGGAGAGCAACGACGAUUUGAAUCGCUUAGCAAUCCAGCUGGAGUUCCUAACCACCCGACAUAUGUAGAACCAAAUCUUGCAUAUGUCAACCCAAGUCUAGUUCUCCCCAAAUUUGACCAGGUUCGCGACACCCGAGAGCACAGUACCCCACCAUCCUAUAGCCGAUCUAGAUGUUUCCUGGUCAUCUCAGAUCCGUAAGGUGGGUACACGCUACUCUCGCCAUCGCUCCACGCCCAGUGCGCGAGUAGCUGUUCGCGUCGAGGGAUCACAAGACCGGGCUUACCGAGGGCAAGUGGCUAGUACUAUAAAUUCUCAACCCAGCAAGCCAUCAACGGACCGGUGCUUAACCGACACAGUUGGAGACACUACUUUAAGACUCUAUUCUUAAAGCAAGUCCACCGACCGGUCUCAAGUUGAAACAUCAUUGACCAUAAGUGUAUCCCACAACAACCCUUCAAACUUUCUUAUUUGAAAACCUGUCUAGUAGCAGGGCUAAGCAUCACUACGCAAUUUUAAAAUAAAACAGGUGCCAAGGACAAGAUAACAAAUAUCAAGGUAGUAAAUGCAAAUAAUAGGUUACCCAAAUUCUCAACUACCUAAUGCAGCAUUUUUAAUCCACAAGUGAUAAAAGAUUUAAAACAUUCAAGGAGGGGUUAAUGCAUCCGGGGCUUGUCUUGGUUGCAGAGCUAAGAGGGACCCUCGGAGACUUCCCAAGCCUCGGAUCCAACUUCCUCGAACGGAGCACCGACCUCGGGGUUCGGUUCAACGGUCGCUCCUUCGGUCACGUGCACUAUACGCAAAAUGAUGGAUGCUCAUGAUAUGCGUAUGACAAAUAUUUAAGAAGGACCGAGUUAAGUACAACUGGCCUUCUCGGUGCAACACAGACUAAACAAUAAUUAAAGUUGUUUACCAUUUUAGUGUUUUUACCCAAGAGGUUGCAUCAGUAAAUUAAGAUUUCUCUUAUUUCAUAAUUAUCUUUAAUUAACUAAUUAUUAAUCCUUUUAAUCUUAAUUAAUUCUUAAUUAAGUAUUAAUGACAGUAAUUAAACAUUAAUGCCAAACAAUAAUUAAAUGCCAAAGGUCAUUAAGGUUAAUGACCUCAGGUCAUCACACAAUCCCAAAAUCACUCAAACCCUAAUUUUGAGAAUUUAAACUAAUUAUCAUCUAAUUAUUCUAGAAUUAUUAUUUAAUUACUAAUUAAGGGUUUAAUGAUAUUUUAUUCCAACAUUAUCCAAAUACCACCAAAUUUUGUGUGAAGCCAGGGAAUAAUAUUAAGAGGCAUCCCACAAAUUUUGGUGAUUUUUGGACAUAUAAUUAAAUUAUUAAAAUUCAGGGAAGUUUUAUUUAUUAAUUAAAAGAGGCAAUUUUUAUAUACAUGCAAACUACCAGAAAAUAAAAUCUAAUAUUUUUCCUAUGUUCCACUCAUUAUAUGGAACCUAUACAGAAAUUUCCAUGAUUUUUGAAUCAGUAUACAACCUCCUACACAAAAUCAAAUAUAAAACAAAUUUUGCAUAAAAAGAAAAAGGAAAACAACACUAUGCUGCGAGCGGCCCAGGAACUCGGCCCGCAGGCCGGCCCGUUCGCGCUCGGCCCACGCGCGCUGUGCGCGCACCCUACCCUCUCGCGUGGUCACUGACGGGCGGGACCCGCCCGUUAGCUGCUUCUCUUACCUCCCGCCACGGCACCGGCGAGCUCAAGCUCAUCGCCGGUGAGCUCCCGGCCUCCGCGAUAGGGCAGGCCAGCACUCUCAGCCACCUACGCACCUCUUGCGGUGCUCGGACCACGCGCUACCCACCUCAAUCCCCCCUUGCUCGCGUCCACGGCGGACGGCGGCACUAACCGCGCGAGCACUGUUGAUAUUUGGGAACGCAAUAAGGAAUUGAUCCGCAAGCGCACGGAUAUCGGUGAGCACUUCACCCGGGAGGUUAUCCAGAGUAUCGUAUUUAUUUUUUUACCACUAGGAGAAAGAGUGCAUCUGACUAACCGGUCUAUUACUACUAACCUUUAGGCACAAAGAAUGUCUUUCGAUGUGAGUGAUAAAUAGAGAAGACUGCAACCGUAGUCUCCUUCUAACCUUGGUAAGGAUGAUCUACUGUUCUAAUGGGGAGGCUAACGGAAUCUAGACACCACAAAGGAUGUUCAACCCGCACCUAUAAACCCUAUCCUUCCUGCUAACGAGAUGUGAUUUGCAAAGGUAAUUCGGAAUUGUCACGUUCCUCACUACUACCACGGUCCAGCUAGUCAGGGAAUAUCUAUGAGUACCCCAGCCUAAACACCAUGUUUACGCCAGCAAUGAUUACUCUAAACUCUACACGAAGAGAUUAAAGUAAACUCAUAAACCAUAAGAAGAAUAAAACAAGAACUUACUAGAAUUUAGAAGUCGAAUUACUGAAGAAUCCUAGGAGCAAGCUUCGGGUUAGGAGAACUUGAUCCCGCAGGUACAAGCUUGGAGUAGACACCGACAGGCCGGGCUUCCUCCAAUCUACACCUCCACUCUAUCUCUCUCAAUCUAGUAGAAACUAGAAGAUCUAUUUCUACCUUACAUUGGUUGCUAAGCCUAAAAAGAAAUAUUAAUUAGAGAAGAGGUUUUCCUUCGAGGGCACCCCUCAGUCUCUAUGAUAAUUUCUUCAUGUCUUCUCCAGGGGCCAGGGGGUCUCCUUAUAUAGUCCUCCCCUUCUAUGCGUUUUUGGGUCGAUAAGCGAGGUGGUAAUAUGUUUUUUCUUGAUCCAAUAGGUCGGUGGAAUAUCCCGAGCGAAGAGAGUCCUGAUCUGGCUCCAGCAGGGGGCGGGCGCCCAGGUCCUCAGGGCGGGCACCUUGGGCCUGGCCCCGUUUCGCCUCCGCUUCUGUCUCGUGGCUUCUGGAGUCUUCUAGAUGGUAGAAAAUUGCGCGGUGCGUUGAUAUCUCUAUGUAAUCCCGACAUGUGGGCCUUUCUUCCUUAUUUCCUGAUAACCCCCUGCAGAAACAGAUAAACAACAAAACUCGUGGAAUUCUGUCAGAUCAAACCCUAAUUCUAGGUGUUGGUUGCAUAUUGGUCCUUUCUUUUGUUUAUUUGAUAAUUAAAAUUGAUACUUAAGAACCGUCAACAAAUACCCCCAUACUUAGGCUUUUACUCGUCCUCGAGAAAAGGAUGGUUAAGAAAAAUAUUUGGGGUAAACAUUUUAAAGCAUUCUCUAUAACAUUGCAGGGUGUUAAAAAUUCCACUGUGUACCAUAGUCAGGGAAGUAUAUGGUUAAAAGUAAAGAUCCUUUCUUCUCGAUCCUGUCACUUGGAGUUUUUGUAUAUUUUUGAAAGAAAGUUAACAUACCCUUUUGAUCCUCAUAGGUUCUCUCAGAUCACUCAUUAUCUUUUAUAUAUCUCACUGAGGUUGUUUUAUCUUUUUUGCAAAAAUUCUCAAGCAUACUUACUUUGCAUUUAUUGCCUGAUCAAAACGGGAUCCGAGGAGGGGAAUGUCAUACUCUUAGAUCAAAGACUUUGGAAAUUAAAAUCUUUGUCAACUCUUGCUGGCAUAUUGCUUAUUAGAGGGACCAUGGGCUAUCAUUUUUUUUACUAGAAUUUAAGUGGAUACCGAGGUACCCCUAAUUCUACUGUCGGACACUUGUCCAUUUUUCUACGAGGUUGUCGAGCACUUGCUCCUUUUUAUUUCCUCGAAAUAUUUUUAUUUUUGCAUAGCCCAUGCCUCUAAUGCAAUAAUACUUCGGAAGAGUGAAUCUUUCUGAAAUAAUGUCUUGAUCUUGGGAACAUGAUAAAUCUCUCAACAAGGGUCUAACUCAUUUUGAACAAACUCAAUACAGAGCAGAUGGCUUUUAUAAUCAUAGUUAAUAUUUUUUUUUCUGUUUUAUCAGGCAUAUAAAACACUGAGGAUGGUAGCUAGAAUUUUGAAUAUUUUGAAAUAAAUUCUCCAAGCAACAAUGAUAUCAAGAAUAAGAAACUCAUACUCUACCAUCACAUAUUCCAUAUUGACUUAAGUAACACAGGGUUUUAAAAUGAUUUUAUAAUAAUUGCAAAUUUUCAGGAAAUAUCAUAGAUUGAGAUUAAUCAUGAUUAGAAAUAUUUUAAUUUAUUUUAUCAUGUCGGAAACAAUAUUCUGCAUAAUCCAAAAUAUAUGUAUGUGUAAAGUAAAGUGUGUAGAGUGUGUACCUGAAUCGUGGAGUGGUGUAGUUGGAGUGUGUUUGGCAUAUUGAGGGAUCUCCCCCAUACUUGUUUUCUGCUUUCUUGCACAAAAAUAAAGUAGAGACACACAAGACAUAAUAAUAAUAAUAAUAAUACUCUUUAUUGAUCUUGAGGCAUUUAUUACAAAAGACUGAUAGCAAACUGAUAGCAAACUGAUAAUAGCAAACUGAUGAUAAUAGCAAACUUAAACCGAAUUUAAAGAUAGAUGACUAAGAUGCAUUGCCUCAAGGUCUAAUCUAGAUAACUUAGCGGCGCUCUAAUUCCUUGAUCUUAUUGUUGGCACUAGCAAGAUCCUGCCUAAGGCCUAGUAUAAUAGUGUUGUGGUUAGAGAGCUGCCUAGUGAGGGAGUUAAUCGAGGACUGGAGGUCUAUGAUAAUUCUAUCUAGCCUGUGAACUUCCUCAUCAAUAUCCAUUAUAGUCUUGCGACGCUUGGGAGGUGUCUCAAAAGCAUUGAGAGAGUGCUUCGGGGCUGCCUUUGGAGGGAUGAAAUGGACUUUGGCUGCUCUAAUCCCUUCAAAGUAAGGCCUUUCCUCCUCUGUAGUGUAGCGAAUACUGCUGAUCUCACCGCUCCGGUUGGUCUUGACUCCAACGACCCUCUCAUUGGGUCUAGGUGGAAGGAUCCUUGUGCCGAUUGGCACCUUGAUAGUGGUCUUCGUCUUGGAUGAUGAUCCUUUGAGGAGUAGGUGUUGUGGCGGUGCGGUGAGAACUGGUUGAGCAUGGUAAGAUUGGGCGGAGCUGCGUUGGCGUAAUGGCAUGGCUUCUAGCUGUCGCUCUGUGUUGGCCGGGACGAGAGCACGGGCAUCGGGGUCUUCCACAGGCUCCAUGUUGAGGUUGAAGGGGAUGACUUCCCAAUCAUCGUGGUACUUCUCGGCCAUUGGAGCAGCAAGGAACUAAUAAAACUUUAAUUGAAGUAGAGCUAAUCAAGCUCUAAUUAAAGGGGAGAAGGCUUGGUGGCUUGGUGUUUGAAAACUAAGGUCAGGGGUCUGUUUAUAUAGGGGUCAAAAGGGUGCCUCUAUGGGUUGUUCGGGUUGCUCCCGUCGACGUGCGUGUGAAACUUUCCAUCCGAGGGAUUAUUCGGAUCACCCUAAGUGCAUUUUCCAUAACAGAGAAAGUCGGGACCGAGGGGGAACAGGGGCUGGGCGCCCGCCCUCUCUCUGGCCCCUCUGUGGGCCCACUUCUCCGAGCGCGUUUCUAGAUGCGAAAUUAUUUAGAAAAAUAUAUAUAUGACCCAGAACCAUCAGACCAAAAGUGUCGGGCUCUAAUUCUCUAUGGGAAGGUAAAAAUGGACUACGUCUAUUUCUUCAAAUUCCUCAUUGGGCUCUAAAAAUAAUUUAAGACGUUGACCAUUUACCUUGAAUAACGUACCUUCGUCAUUUUGAAGUGUGAUAGCUCCGUGGGAUGAUGAAUUAAUUACCUUGAAUGGUCCUUCCCAUUUGCUCCAGAGUUUUCCAUGCCCGAAAAGCUUCACCCUAGAAUUAAAAAGUAAUACCUUAUCUCCGGGUGUGAACUCCUUCUUCUUGAUUCUCUUGUCAUGCCACCUUUUGACUCUUUCUUUGUAGAUCUUUGAAUUGUGAUAUGCCUUCUCUCGCCAUUCUUCCAAUUCUGAUAGUUGCAUUCUUCUAUAAUCUCCAGCAACAUCUAGGUCCAUAUUCCAUCUCUUUAUGGCCCAGUGUGCUUUGAACUCUAGUUCAACAGGCAGAUGGCAAGUCUUCCCGUACACCAAUUGGUAUGGAGACAUUCCAAUUGGGGUCUUGUAUGCUGUCCGGUAUGCCCAGAGUGCAUCGGGUAACUUGUCUUUCCACGCUGUUCCCAUUUCAUUUACUGUCUUCUGAAGAAUAUUCUUGAUUUGUUUGUUGGAAGUCUUUGCUUGGCCACUUGUCUGAGGAUGAUAGGGGGUAGCGACGUUAUGACAGAUUCCAUGUCUUGAUAGAUAUUGCUUGAAGCGUAUGUCGAUGAAGUGUGCUCCUCCAUCACUUAUCACUACUCUGGGGACUCCAAAUCUUGGAAAUAUAAUUUCUUCAAACAUCCUCUUUGAACUGACGUUGUCGGCAUGCUUGCAAGGUAAUGCCUCUACCCACUUGGAGACAUAGUCAACCGCCACCAAGAUGUACUCGCACUUCUUUGAUGGAGGAAAUGGGCCCAUGUCGUCUAUUCCCCAAACAUCAAAGAGCUCAAUCUGAAGGUUGUUGGUGAGUGGCAUUGCAUCCCUUGUAUUUAUGUUUCCGUGCCUUUGACAUGGCCCACAUCUUCUCAUAUAUUGCUUCAUGUCUUCAUACAUUGUAGGCCAAUAGAAUCCACACUACCAGAUCUUUGAAUGUGUACGGAAUGCUCCAUAGUGACCUCCAUAUGGUGAUGAAUGACAUCUGUUGAUGAUCUUCCAUCCUUCCUCAGUGGUCACACAUCUCCUGAGUAAGCCAUCAGAGCACACUCGGAAGAGGUAUGGCUCAUCCCAUAUAUGUGAACGACUUUCAUGAAUAAGCUUCUUCUUAUUUGCUCCUGGUGGUACAUACCCUGAAACCAUAAAAUUAACAAUAUCUGCAUACCAGGGGUCAGACCUGUUAAUCCCGUAGAGCAUGUCGUCCCGGAGUGAAUCAUUGAUGGGGGUUUCCUGUGGACUCUUAAAAUACAUUCUAGACAAGUGAUCAGCAACAGAAUUUUCUACUCCUUUUUUAUCUUUUAUUUCUAAGUCAAAUUCUUGGAGUAAUAAAAUCCAUCUAAUCAGACGAGGUUUAGUAUCUUUUUUAGUGAGCAAAUAUUUUAAUGCAGCAUGAUCACUGUAAACAAUUAUUUUAGCUCCAACUAAAUAAGAUCUAAAUUUAUCUAUGGCAAAGACAACAGCCAGAAGCUCUUUUUCAGUGGUUGCAUAGUUAAGUUGAGCUCCUGUCAAAGUUUUACUGGCAUAAGCAAUUGCAUGAUGCUUCUUAUCUUUAGUUUGUCCCAAUACUGCCCCCACAGCAUAAUCACUAGCAUCACACAUAAUUUCAAAAGGCAACGACCAAUCAGGGGGUUGAAUGAUUGGUGCAGAGAUGAGUGCUUUCUUUAAUAAAUUGAAAGAUGUUAAACAUGCAUCAUCAAACUCGAAAGGAGCAUCCUUGGCUAGCAAAAGAGUAAGUGGUCUAGCAAUAAAUGAAAAAUCUUUUAUGAAUCUACGAUAAAAACCAGCAUGGCCAAGAAAGCUUCGAAUUCCUUUUAUGUUCACAGGUGGAGGUAGUUGUUCAAUUACUUCAAUUUUAGCUUUGUCUACCUCAAUACCUCUUUCAGACACUAAGUGUCCCAGCACUAUUCCUUCCCUAACCAUAAAAUGACAUUUUUCCCAAUUAAGGAUUAAGUGCUUUUCUUCACAUCUUUGCAAAACCUUAUCUAAGUUUUCAAGACAACUAUCAAAAGUUUUUCCAUAAACAGAGAAAUCAUCCAUGAAAACUUCCAUAAUCUCUUCAAUCAUAUCAGAAAAUAUAGACAUCAUGCAUCUUUGAAAAGAAGCUGGUGCAUUACAUAACCCAAAAGACAUUCUACGAUAAGCAUAAGUUCCAUAUGGGCAUGUAAAAGUGGUUUUGCUUUGAUCAUCGGGAUGGAUCGGGAUUUGAUGAUACCAUGAAUAUCCAUCUAAGAAACAAAAGAAUGAAUGAUUUGCUAACCACUCUAGCAUCUCAUCUAUAAAAGGUAAAGGAAAGUGAUCCUUUCUCGUGGCUUUGUUUAGUUUUCUAUAGUCUAUGCACAUCCGCCAUCCUGUGACGGUGCGUUGCGGAAUUAGCUCGUUCUUUUCAUUCAUAAUAACUGUCAUGCCUCCCUUUUUGGGCACAACUUGUACUAGGCUCACCCACUCACUGUGCGGCACAGGAUAUAUAAUCCCUGCAUGCAGCAACUUUAUGACUUCCUUUUUAACUACCUCUCUCAUAGUGUUGUUAAGUCUACGUUGGGGUCCUCGAGAGGGUGUAACAGAAGGAUCUGUUGGAAUACGAUGGGUACAAAUCAUAGGACUGAUUCCUGUAAGAUCUUGAAGUGAGUAGCCAAAAACUGAGUGAUGUUUUUCAAGAAUGGUCAUUAAUCGCAGAGUUUGAUCCUGAGUGAGUUUAUCGCUAAUGAUUACAGGGAACUCUGGAUUAUUGUUUAGGAAAGCAUAGGUAAGACCGGGCGGUAAAGUUCUAAGCUCUAUGGGGGGUCUAGGUGUUUCUGCAAACUCAUCUAAGGGUUCAGGCUCAGAAGGUUCGUCUUCUUCUUCUGUGAAGAAAGGAGUUUCGUCUUCUAAGUCUGGUUCAUCUAAAAGCUCUAGAGAUGCAGCCUUUACUUCCUCCAUAGGAUCAGGCAAAAGAUAUGACUCGGCCUUAUUGUUUAAGGAGUGUGAAAUUGUUAUUGGGAAUUUAAAAGUUUUUCCAAAAGAAAUGUGUAGCUUUCCAGUAUGACCUUCAUAAAGGAGUCUUCUAAAAGGUUGUCCUAUUAACAGGUCGAAGUCCCAUGUAUCAAAGAUAUAGAAGUUCAAAUGAACCAUGGAGCCUUCUACCGUAAGAGGUAGGACAUUAAUAAUUCCAAGACUGGGGACUAAUCGUCCCGAAGAUUCCUUUAUGACCUUUGUUGUGGGGGUUAAGAAAAUAUUUUUAAAUAGUUUAAGUGCAAAAGAUUCAGACAUGAUGUGGAUCCCCACAACAGGAUUAUAAAGAGCAUUAAAUCGAUCAGAAUUAUAAGCACAUCGUAUAGUUAUAGAGGGUGUGUUCAAACGGAUCACAUCAGAGGAAAUCUCUGAUUCCUCCAACCAUUCGCUACUCAUUACUAAGAUAAGCUCUCUCAAUUGAUAUUCACUUGGCAAAUAAAUGCUAAACUGGCCGUUUUGGGGUUUGUCAAUAGAAUGGUAGUUUGAUAUAUUUCCAAAAUCGACAAAAAGAUCGGAUUCUAUAUCCAGCAUGAAGUCCGGUAGUGGAAUUUCUUCCUCUUGUGGCUCAGAACUUGGGAUAGCUAAAGUAGAUAAAGAAUUUGGCAGAGUGUCUACUUCGGCUUCGUAGGUUUCAUCAUGAAGGGUAUUAUCCAUCUCAGCUUCUAGGAUUCUAUCUAGGAUCACUCUAGCUUCAUCAGCAGGGAUGCGAAAGAAAGAACCUCUAGACAUUGUGUGAAGCAUUUGUUUGUGAUUUUUAUGAAGACCUCGAAAAAAGUGAAAUAGAAGAACAGGGUCUUCAAGAUUAAGGUUUGGACCAGAUUCUAAAAGGUCAGAAAAACGUUUCCAGGAUUUUCCCAAAGUUUCAUUAUCUUUUUGUUUAAAAGAUAGGACUUCAAGUCUAAGGUCGGCUAUACGGUCAAGGGAAUAGAAAUCUAGACAAAAGUUAGCUCGUAAAACUCCCCAUUCACCUUGUUGUUGACUUACCUUCUGACUGUACCAUUGUCUAGCUUCUCCCCUUAAAGAAAAAGGAAAAAGCUUCCAACGUAAAGUCUUAUCAGAAAUGCCUUCAAUGCGAAGACAAUCACAUGUUUGCUCAAAAUCUCUAAUAUGAAGGUAAGGGUUUUCGUCUUCCUUUCCCGAAAAAGAUAGGUUUUGAAUCAUGGCAAUCAGCCUAGAACUUAACUUAUACUGGGAUGUUUGGAUAGGCUGUGAUGAUUCCCAUGGUAAAAGGUCAGUUGCUAAAGGGAUUGCAGACUCAUGGAUCGAUUUAGAAUUUUGGUUUUCCAUAAGGUAAGAGUAAAGAAAAUAAAUAAAGAAUAUAAAAGAUAAGAAAAGAUAAAAGUAUAGAUACAAGCUAGUAGUAAGACUCAGGUUAUCUCAGCAACCGUCUUUCUCCCCGGCAACGGCGCCAGAAAUGCUUGUUGAUAUUUCGGAACGCAAUAUGGAAUUGAUCCGCAAGCGCACGGAUAUCGGUGAGCCCUUCACCCGGGAGGUUAUCCAGAGUAUCGUAUUUAUUUUUUUACCACUAGGAGAAAGAGUGCAUCUGACUAACCGGUCUAUUACUACUAACCUUUAGGCACAAAGAAUGUCUUUCGAUGUGAGUGAUAAAUAGAGAAGACUGCAACCGUAGUCUCCUUCUAACCUUGGUAAGGAUGAUCUACUGUUCUAAUGGGGAGGCUAACGGAAUCUAGACACCACAAAGGAUGUUCAACCCGCACCUAUAAACCCUAUCCUUCCUGCUAACGAGAUGUGAUCUGCAAAGGUAAUUCGGAAUUGUCACGUUCCUCACUACUACCACGGUCUAGCUAGUCAGGGAAUAUCUAUGAGUACCCCAGCCUAAACACCACGUUUACGCCAGCAAUGAUUACUCUAAACUCUACGCGAAGAGAUUAAAGUAAACUCAUAAACCAUAAGAACAAUAAAACAAGAACUUACUAGAAUUUAGAAGUCGAAUUACUAAAGAAUCCUAGGAGCAAGCUUCGGGUUAGGAGAACUUGAUCCCGCAGGUACAAGCUUGGAGUAGACACCGACAGGCCGGGCUUCCUCCAAUCUACACCUCCACUCUAUCUCUCUCAAUCUAGUAGAAACUAGAAGAUCUAUUUCUACCUUACAUUGGUUGCUAAGCCUAAAAAGAAAUAUUAAUUAGAGAAGAGGUUUUCCUUCGAGGGCAACCCUCAGUCUCUAUGAUAAUUUCUUCAUGUCUUCUCCAGGGGCCAGGGGGGUCUCCUUAUAUAGUCCUCCCCAUCUAUGCGUUUUUGGGUCGAUAAGCGAGGUGGUACUAUGUUUUUUCUUGAUCCAAUAGGUCGGUCGAAUAUCCCGAGCGAAGAGAGUCCUGAUCUGGCUCCAGCUGGGGGCGGGCGCCCAGGUCCUCAGGGCGGGCGCCCUGGGCCUGGCCCCGUUUCGCCUCCGCUUCGGUCUCGUGGCUUCUGGAGUCUUCUAGAUGGUAGAAAAUUGCGCGGUGCGUUGAUAUCUCUAUGUAAUCCCGACAUGUGGGCCUUUCUUCCUUAUUUCCUGAUAACCCCCUGCAGAAACAGAUAAACAACAAAACUUGUGGAAUUCUGUCAGAUCAAACUCUAAUUCUAGGUGUUGGUUGCAUAUUGGUCCUUUCUUUUGUUUAUUUGAUAAUUAAAAUUGAUACUUAAGAACCAUCAACAAGCACCAGCCUCCACAAGUGAUUAGAACGCAGACCAACCAGCGCAUAAGCCUCAGGGGCUCACCAUGACUUCAACAAAGCAAAGAGCAGCAGUGGAGAAGCUUGGAGAAGAGCUGGCCGCGGUGAGGCACCCACGGCGGCGAUUUCGGCCGUAAUCGGAGGGAAACAGCUCGGUUGCGGGCUAGGACAGGUUAGAGCUUGCGCUCGGGGGCGCAAACGGUUGCGGGGUUCUUGGCGGAGCUGCUGGGGGAUCUCUGGUGGCUUGAAAGGGAGCAAGGGAGGCGAAUUUUGCAGGCGCCGCAAGGUCGUCGGUGUUGAGCAGAAAGGGGAAAAACGAGGUGGCCGUGCAGUGUGGUCACUGAGGGGAGAGGAUGAGCACGCCAGGGGCUCGUCCACUUCUUGGCGGGCGGCGGGCUCGCGCAGCCAAGCAGCUGCGUGGCUAGUCGCGUGGCGGCGCACGCGAAGGCGGCGCCUGCCCGCCCUGCGGCCGCGGUGGACAGAGCUCGUGAUCCUCAUCGGAUCACUGUAGCCGUCCCUAUCCCCUCCUUUCUGUCUUUUGCAAAAUUCAACUAAAAUUUGAACUAAAGUCAAAUUUUCACCAAAACCAAAGUUGUUCAGAAUUUUACAAGCUACAAAACAUGUUUGGCUGACCAAAGCCAAUUCUGAGUGGAAAAAGGUGAAUUUGACAAAACAGUUUGAAAUUCAAAUCUCAAUUUAGGGAAAUUCCAAUUUUGAAUUGGGGUAGAUGAGAAUUUCCAAAAUUACUUUUGAUUUUCCAUAACAACUUGAAAAAUUCCCAACAUGAAAAUUGUUCAAUUUUUUGAGCUCUACAAUUUGUUCAAUUUUUUGAGCUCUACAAUUUUCAUGUUGGUCACUUUCCAAAAUUCCAAAUAGAUUUUAAAAUGGGGAUUCAAAUUGGAAAAGGGGACACUUUUUGGAAAUCUGUAUUUUCAAAAUUACUAUGAAUUUUGUAUUGAAACUUCAAAAACUCAAAACACCAAAGUUGUACAUCUUGACAAGAUCUAUAACUUUGCUUUUGAACUCAUCCACAAAAUUUUGCUUAGUUUUUAAGUUACACAAAAGGGGGAAAUUCUAGGGUUCUAAAAUCACGGUUUUCCCCCCUCUAUUUUCUCGGAAACCUUCCACCCUAGGGAUUAUACAACCAACACAAGCAUCACUUCUCAACAUAAGCACACUUUAAUUCCCUAAGCACAUUCAACCAAAUUAAACUUGUUUUAACUUGAUGCAUAAUAAUGUGCUUAACUAAUAUGCGAUGCAAUGCUCAUGAUGACAUGAUCCAGUUUUAGUAACCGUAACAUCGGGGAUGUUACAAAUACCCCUCUAGCUGGAUAGGAAUCGAUUCGAAUCACCGUCUCUCCCGGAUAGUGAGAACUUGACACGGGCAGUCGCACGUAGAACUCACUAAAUAAACUUAAUGGUUAUGAUGAGAAUAUUGAUAGCUAAGUGAUAAUCCGGAUAUGGUUACUAUUGUGAUGCUUAAAUACUCAAGUGUGUGCUUAGAACAGGUGCUAACCUAGUGGAUAGUUGUUAAGUAAUAAACCUGCUGCUGGAAUAUUAUAAAUGGGUUACCUACAACAAAGGCUUUUUGUGCAAAAAGGUGAGUCAAACCAGCCCACAAAGAUCAGCCUUGCAUACUCCUUGGUGUCACUUAUUUCUGGUUUAUGACGGGUAAGUCUAGCUGAGUACAUUCUCGUACUCAGGGUUUUAUUUACCCAUGUUGCAGAUGAUGUCAUUUAUCACGGCUGCUGUGCUAACUGCCAUCAUCUGGCUACGGAUGAUGAAUAGAUUAUGGGCGUGAUCAUCUUCUUUAUCUUCAGUUGUGCUUUUGUUGGGUUGACCAUGGAACUGGCAUGUAAUUUAAACUGAGUGUGGGUGAUGUUUUAAAACUACUUUGUUUCCGCUACCAAACUGGUUUGUAAUGACCUUGUUUAAAACUCUGAUGUAAUGUAAACUUAUGUUCUAUGAUGAAAUGUAUGUAAUCUGUGAUGGCGAUGCUUGAUCAUGUACGAUCUUGGUUGUAUGUUGGUUGAAUCGGGGUCUUUUGAGAUUUCGUCGGACUACUGGGUUUAUAUGGGUUCAAGUCCAUUGGCUUGACUGCCUCCGUGGUCGCUAAUUUACUUGAAUUCUUAUAAACUGGAUGGUUCUGUUAUAGCUGGUAUCAGAGCAAGAUUAAGCAUUUAACCAUCACAGAUGUAUUUAAAAACAAAUGAAUUUGGUUUUCCCAAGCUAAUUUGGCAAUUUAGACUAUACAUAGGGCUGUUUUAAAAAUGUUUUAAUAACUUAAACCAUGCCAGUGGUCAUACCCUUUAUGCCCAUAUAAGGACUUCUAGGUGGCUUAAUAUUACUAACAUGGGGGUUUUUCCUUUCGUCGUCCAUAUGGCGUGUAAUAAUAUGGAUGCCACUUACUUAAGUGGUAAUGAAUGGAUCACAUACCUCUACGCCAUGGUAAGCAUUGUUUGUUUUCUUUCGUCGUCCAUACGAUGUGAAAUUGUAUGGAUGCCACUUGCUUGAGUGGUAAUGUAUGGAUCUAUAUGCCUCUACGCUAUGGUAAGCGUGAGCUGUGAGAGCAUGACCGUCCAACCAUCGGUCUAGGGGAGUGUUAGCUCUGGUUACUGGAAUAUUUACAUGUUUUACACAUGUAUAUAUGAAGGUACUUAAUUUUGGGUAGUAAGUGCAGUCAUGUAUACAUAUUUGAUGUAUACGUGGGUGUAUCCCAAAUGGGUAGUGUGCUGCGAUAUAUGUUCGGGAAUAUAUAUCAAAGUAUCUAGCUUUAUUGUUGAUGAUUGGAUUUACAUUUCUGCACAUAUACUAUUGUGGGGUUGGGCUAAAAUGGAAUUUUCUGCAGGUACACUAACAACGAAACGUGUAGACCGUGUAGUUGCGUAUAAAGAGUGCACGUAUGUAUGCCACCGACUAUACCGUUAGAACCUUAAUGGAAAGGAUGUAUGGAACGUGCAUGCAUCAUGAAUCAUUCAUACAUUCCUUAUGCACUACUUAAGUAUUAAAUUCUGAAAAUAUAUCUAUUUACCUUUCCUUGUAAUUGAUCUCCCUUACUCAAAUGUGGUCUUUCUACAGAUGGCAGCACCACACGCAAGUGAGACUUUCCUGGACAUGUUUGGCACUCCUACUUUGUUGUGGAGGGUGCUAAGUUCAGUUGGAUAUGAGGAACCACCUAAGUACACUUGGACCGAGUCUGAGCAUGCAGGAGCCUUACCUUGGGUAGAUGUCCAAAUUACAGUUCCCCCUUGUCCAAAUAACCCACAGUGGCUAGGUUGGAUAGUAGAGUGCGAUGGCCAAACUCCUUGGGAGGGUGCCCAAGUAGCAGCCUUAGAAGUAUUGCUGGAGAUAUGCCAAGAUUAUGGUGAUGAGCUAGUGAAUGGCCCAGCUGGAUCCAUCCCUAGAGUGAGUGUGACCGACACAUUUGUGUCUCAGAUAGGAAAUGAGCCUUUAGAGAUGAGAGAAACCAUGCUAGGAUAUAGCUCUAGCCCUACCAUGAGUGCCAUGCUGGCGGUACUUAAGCUGUACUAUGUACGCCACACCUACAUAGACGCCAUGCUAGCGCUCCAACAAGCUCAAGUUGGGCAGCGCAAACUGCGCAAGCGCGUGCGCAAGCACCGCAAGGCUUUUAGGGAUGCACAAGCUGAAAUCAAAAACUAUCACACCGCUUUGCAAGCCCGCCGCAACCAAGUUGAGAACGCAGUUAGAGAGCGCAAUGAGGCACAAGCCCGCAUGAUGCAAAUGACUAGAGAUAGAUGAGGCUAUGCGCCUGGCUGAAAAUAGAGAAGCUGCUAGAGUUAGAGCCUUGUUCCAUGCUGAGAUGUGAGAGGAAGAGCUGAUCACUAGAAUUGCUGAGCUACACUUAGAUGUCCAUCGCCUAAAUAAUAUCAUAAAUCCUAGCCCACAUCCUGUCCCCUUUAAUCAUGAAGAAGCUCCUAGUGAGGAAGAUCAGGAUGAUGGCAUCAUUUCUAAUGGAGAAUCUGAGGAAGAUAUGUAGCCUAGCAAUGAUUCCAUGCUCAUGUAUCAGUUUCCAUCUCUUUAUGUAAUGGACAUAUAAUCUAAAUUUCAGCUAAGACUCUAUGUAUUUGGCCAUGGUGCCCCUCCUGUAAGACUUAAGUUGUGGCAAUGACUCUAUGUAACCCUAUGCACUUAUUUGUGAUGCUCCAUGUUUAUGUUGAGCUUAAAUAAUUUUCUGCAAUGUCUUUAAUCCUUGUGAAUUGUGGCUGUGAAUGAUCGUGAGAAUAACCAAGUGUCGUGGAUGAUAUUCUCUUGUUGUACAUGGAUUAUUGUGCCUUAAAUUAUGUGAAUUUACUUCAUUAAAUUCCGUAUGGCAGCAAUUGAGGUUCAUGGCAGUUAUAUCUGUUGUCCUAAACGGUCACUUGGUAUGCCUUGUGCAGAUGGCUCGCAAUACUCGCUCCGGUCACAAUGAGGUGCCGCCACCACCGCCUCCUCCCCCCCCUACGCCUACUGAGCUAUUGGCAGCUCUUGUUGAGGGCCAGCGCAUGCUCAAUGAGGCUAUACAGACUAUGGCGCAGCAAAACCGGAAUGGUCGCCAUGUCCGCCAAGGUGGAGAGGCAAAUCAGCCCAGCAGCUUCAAGGAUUUCCAAGACACGAAGCCGCCGCUUUUCAAGGAGGCUGUUGAACCUCUAGAAGCUGAUGAAUGGCUCAACACUCUCGAGCAGAAGUUCCGCUUGCUGAUGGUGACUGAAGAGUUAAAGGCGGAAUAUGCAACCCACCAGUUGGAGGGCAAAGCAGGUGUCUGGUGGAGUCAUUAUAGGACUAGCUUGCCUGCAAAUGCUGUUGUGACCUAGGAUCAGUUCAAAACUGCUUUUAGGAACACCUAUAUUCCCCAAGGCUUAAUGACUAUCAAGCACACGGAGUUCAUGAACCUGGCACAGGGCACUAGAAGCUUAACUGAGUAUCUUCAUGCUUUUAACAAUUUGUCUCGCUAUGCUCCUGAAAUGGUUGAUACUGAGGCCAAGAAGCUUGCUAGUUCCAAGAGAGGGUUGGGACCCAAGCUGUCCAAAAACAUGGCUGGUAACAAGAGUACCACCUUUAAUGAGUUUGUGAGUGAUGCGUUGACUCAAGAGAACUCCAACGCCGUGUAUGCCGCGUCCAAAAACCGCAAGAGGGCCUAUGAGGCAGGUGAUUCACAGUCUAAGGCUCCCGUGACAAAUAAGCCGGCCUAUCGCCCACCAAAUGCUGUGAUAAGGUAUAGGCCACCGCAUAAAAAGUCAAAUGUGAAGAUGGGAGUUCGCAAGUCCUUCACAGUUGCUCUCCCAAGAGGUGCCAUGGGUCAAGGAGGUCCCAAGACUCCCCCUAAUAACCGUCCCUGCUUCAAUUGCAAACAAGUUGGUCACUGGGCGAGAGAUUGCCCUUAUCCCAAGAGGAAUUCUGCAGCUGGAGGUAACAACCGUACUGGCCGAGUGCACUAUACCACCAUUGAAGAAAUCCCCGAAGGUGAAGUGGUCACGGCUGGUAUGUUCCUUGUAAAUCAACACCCUGCAGUUGUCUUGUUUGAUUCUGGAGCUUCGCAUUCAUUUAUGAGUCAAGCAUUCGCAUCUAAGCAUGGGCAACAUGUAAUUGACCUUGAUAGUGGAAAAUUUUGCAUUAGUGCUGCUGGUAAUCAGAUCUCUACAAAUCAAUUAGUGAGGGAUGUGCAUAUUGCCAUUGAAGGGCGUAGUUAUUCAGCAAAUCUUGUCAUCUUACCGGGCUUGGGAAUAGAUGUUAUCCUAUGAAUGAAAUGGAUGAGUGAUCAUGGAGUGUUAAUAGACACUUCAACUAGGGUAAUCAUGUUGAGGGAGCCUGAUAGUAAAGAAGCUUUCUUAGUUCAACUCCCUAGAAGCAACGACAUCCGUCACGCAGCUAAUGCUAUCAGACCACUCACUGUGGCAGAGAUUCCGGUAGUGUGUGAUUUCGGACGUCUUUCUAGAGGAUCUGCCCGGGUUGCCACCGGACAGAGACAUUGAAUUUAAAAUUGAUCUAAUUCCGGGUACUGCACCUAUCUCUAGAAGGCCAUAUCGAAUGCCACCCAAUGAAUUGGCAGAAUUGAAAAAGCAAUUGCAAGAACUUCUCGAGAAAGGUCUUAUUCGGCCUAGUUCUUCUCUAUGGGGUUGUCCGGCUCUCUUUGUUAAGAAGAAGGACAAGUCUCUACGUAUGUGUGUAGACUAUCGUCCGCUCAAUGCCGUGACUGUUAAAAACAAGUAUCCACUGCCUCGCAUUGAUAUCCUGUUUGAUCAAUUAGCCAAGGUCAAAGUAUUCUCCAAGAUUGAUCUAAGAUCUGGGUAUCAUCAAAUCAAGAUCCGACCCGAAGACAUUCCUAAAAUGGCUUUCUCUACCAGGUAUGGGUUGUAUGAGUAUCUAGUCAUGUCCUUUGGUCUGACUAAUGCCCCUGCUCAUUUCAUGUACCUAAUGAAUUCGGUGUUCAUGCCUGAACUGGAUAAGUUUGUGGUGGUGUUCAUCGAUGAUAUAUUGGUGUAUUCUGAAAAUGCACAAGAACAUGAGAAGCACCUUCGGAUUGUACUCACUAGAUUGCGAGAACAUCAGCUCUAUGCCAAGUUCAGCAAGUGUGACUCUUGGCUGAAGAAAGUGCCUUUUCUAGGCCAUAUUCUAUCCGAAGAAGGUAUUUCUGUUGACCCGUCAAAAGUGCAGGAGGUUCUAGACUGGAAGGCCCCGACUUCAGUGCACAAGGUCCAGAGUUUUCUUGGUCUAGCUAGAUAUUAUCGGCGCUUUAUUCUAGACUUCUCCAAAAUAGCUAAGCCUGUGACCAAGCUACUGCAAAAAGAUGUGAAGUUUGUGUGGUCCCAGGAGUGUGAAGUCGCUUUCACCACUUUACGCCAUUUGCUGACCACCGCUCUUGUUCUGGCACAGCCUGACAUUGAAAAGCCAUUUGACGUCUUUUGUGAUGCUUCUGGCACUGGCCUAGGUUGUGUGCUUAUGCAAGAAGGCCGAAUUAUUGCCUAUGCCUCUCGGCAGCUGAGGAAACAUGAAGCCAACUACCCGACUCAUGAUCUAGAGUUAGCAGCAGUUGUACACGCAUUGAAACUCUGGAGGCAUUAUCUAUUGGGUAAUCUAUGUCACAUUUACACUGACCAUAAGAGCCUCAAAUAUAUCUUCACACAACCCGAGUUGAACAUGAGACAAAGAAGAUGGUUGGAAUUGAUAAAGGACUAUAACCUUGAAGUACACUAUCAUCCAGGCAAAGCCAAUGUUGUGGCCGAUGCUCUUAGUCGGAAACAACAUGUUAGACCUCUCCUAGAGGAAGGCUUCGAUUUAUUGCAUCCGGUGGUCCUGCACAACAUUGUAGUCAGCUGCUCGUUAGAGAGUCAAAUCAUAGAGCUCCAAAAGUCUGAUCCUGGUAUUUUCCAUAUCAAAAGAAAAAUGCAAGAGCAAGACACCAAGCACUUCAAGGUAGAUGAGAAGGGUGUACUGUGGUUUGACGAUCGACUAGUUGUACCUAAGGACCGUAACCUACGCAAAAAAAUUUUAGAUGAAGCUCAUUCUUCCAAGUUGUCCAUUCAUCCGGGUAGUAGCAAAAUGUACCAAGACUUGAAACCUCGUUUCUGGUGGACCAAGAUGAAGAAGGAGAUAGCAGCUUAUGUUGCUAGGUGUUAUACUUGUUGCAGGGUAAAGGCAGUUCACCUUAAACCUGCAGGUUUAUUGCAACCUUUGUCGGUUCUGGGUUGGAAAUGGGAGGAAAUCAGCAUGGAUUUUAUUGUUGGCCUUCCCCCUACCCAAAAGGGACACGACUCCAUAUGGGUGAUUGUUGACCAUUUGACCAAGUCAGCCCAUUUUAUCCCUGUGAAGUCGACACACCGAAUAUCCGACUACGCAGAGUUAUACUUCUCUCAUAUUGUUAAAUUGCAUGGAGUGCCUUGCACCAUUAUUUCUGAUAGGGGUCCUCAGUUCACUGCUCGCUUUUGGGAUCAUCUGCAUUCACUCCUUGGUACAAAGUUGGUUCGCAGUUCACCCUACCACCCUCAAACCUCCGGUCAGACUGAGCGUGUGAAUCAAAUUUUAGAGGAUAUGUUGAGGGCAUGUGUGAUAUCUUCCAAGGGUGCAUGGGAGAAAUGGCUACCCUUAGCUAAAUUCUCUUACAACAAUAGUUAUCAAGAAAGCAUCCAAAUGGCUCCUUUUGAAGCUUUGUAUGGCCGCAAAUGUAGGACUCCUCUAAACUAGGUCGAACCUGGUGAGAGGAGCUACUACGGAAUUGACUUUGUCAAAGAAGCCAAAGAACAAGUUCUCAUUAUCCAGCAACACAUGAAAGCUGCCCAAGCUAGACAGAAAAGCUAUGCAGAUAGGAGAAGAAAACCACUCGAGUUCGAAGUAGGUGACUUUGUGUACCUACAGGUAUCACCCAUGAAAGGAGUAAAUCGCUUUGGUGUAAAAAGAAAGCUUGCCCCUAGGUAUGUGGUUCCCUACCAAAUCAUUGAGAAGAGCGGCAAGGUAGCUUACAAAGUACAACUACCUCCGGAACUAGGAACCAUUUUCCCUGUAUUCCAUGUGUCUCAACUCAAGAAGUAUCUUCGUGUGCCCGAAGAGCGAGUUGAAACAAGAGGCCUAAAGUUGCAGUCUGACCUGUCAUAUGAAGAAAAGCCUGUACAAGUUCUUGAUGUCAAGGAACGAGUUACUCGUGGGAGAGUAAUCAAACUUUUUAGAGUUUUGUGGAACCGUCAAAGUGAAAGAGGUGCCACUUGGGAAAAGAAGGACUAUUUACAAGUAACUUAUCCCUCAUUCUAUGAAAAAUGGUACGUCUUUCAAAUCUCGGGACGAGAUUUUUGUAAGGGGGGAGGGCUGUAACACUCCUAGUGUUAGCUUGCAUGUUAACCAUGAGCAUUGCAUCAACAUAAGCAUCAUCAUGAUCACUCAUGAGCAUCAUACCAUGAUCACAUGCCAUUUGCUACAUGUACUAUGUGAUUAAGUUGCUAUAUGACUUGCUAUGGUUGAUUGUAAUGGGUGACUGUAACACCCAAAAAUUUUAUUUCUUUUAAAUAGAUGAAAUGAAUUUAAAUGAAUUUAUUUUGUGAGCAUUUUCAAUAUAGGAAAAUAAAUAAAUUUGGAGAAAUUAAAAUUUAAUAUAAGUUUAGAAUAAUAAUUUUUGUUGCCGCCGGAGCAUUUCUUUUGUGAUGAUUGGUUGGAAAACAAAAUGAUUUAUUUAUUCUCUUUUCCUGCUCAAAAUUUCAAUUGGAAAUUUGGUAUAAAAAAAGAGAAAUGGAAUUCUUUCUCCCCCUUUCUCUCUAUUCGGCCUUUCGGCCCAAAACCCCCCCGCGCACGCGCCCUUUUCCCUGGGCCGCGGCCUGCUAGACAGCCGGCUCCCCCUUUUCCCCCUCUCUCUCUUUCCCCCCCCCCCCCCCCCGCUGACAGGCUGGGCCCGUCUGUCAGCUCCCUCUUCUCCAACCGCCCGCCCACUCCUUGCUCUCGGUUUCGAACCACUCUGCGCCCCCCCCACCGCUCCCACGUUCUCUCCCACUCCUCCCCUCUUCCCCACGCUUGGAUAAGUAGUGGGCUGCGAGCCGCGCGUCUCCUUCUCCUCCCCAGUUUCCCUCUCCUCGCUUCUGCUCCCGUCCGUGCGCGCGCAGAGAGAAGCCGUCGCCGGAGUUUCUGCCCGCCGCGCGAACCGCCGUCCCGAGCCGUUUUCGCCGAUUCUCGUCGCGCUGGUGAGCUUCCCAUUCUUCCCCGCUCCCUCCCCGUCCUUUUGCCGUGCGAAUCGGGGUUCUCUAGCGCCCCGGUCGCGCUCGCCGGAGUAGUUCGUCGCGGCCGGCCAUGGCGCGGGCCUCUCGGGCAUUCUCCGACCGCGUCUUAGCCCGGGACGAAUUCCCCUUGCCCUCCUCUCUCUCCCGGUGGUUUCGGUUUGGAAAACCGCGCGGCGUAGCCUCCUCUUGAAGUGCGCCGGUGAGCUCCUCGCUGCGGCAAUGGCGGUGCCGCCGCCAUCCCCUUCCCCUCCGGCGGCCGGCCCCUCCUCUCCCCUUCUCCCCCCAGGAUCUAAUCGUGGCCGUCCAUUUCUAAUCGGAUGGCCAGUGACGCCCCCGUUACCCCUUCGGGGGCAGUUUUGCUUAAGAGCCCCUCCCUGAGUUCCAAAUUCUGCCCGCAGUCCUCGGCCGGAAGAAUUCCAGGGAUUUUCCAAAUUAUUUUAAAUCGUUUAAACUUUGAAAUAAUCACAGAAUUGCCAUUGCAUUGUUUUGGCCAUAAAAUAUUCGUUUUAGCUCCAAUUUGACCCGUUCGAAUUGCGUUAGGUUCGUAAUUAAAUUCUCUACAUGAUAGUACUACUGUUUCUGUAGUUUGCCCCUUGUUAUUUUCAGGGUUAGGUUUAAUUAAUUAAAUGCCUAUAGGAAUCGUCGAAAAUUCGUAACUUGAUCGUUUUAGCUCCGAUUUUCGUGAUCUUCGUAUCUAUGUGAUCGUAGCCAAACGUAGGUUCUGUUUUUAAAUAUUUUAUUUAAUUUUUGAUCUGUUGGUGUACUGUUCUAACUAAAGAAUUGUUUGCUUGUAUGAUUGAACUUGGAAUGCGUGUUGUUGUGUGGUACCGAUCGAGCGCAGACGGUGACGUGUCCGUGGGUGAUCCAUUUUACUUCGAGGAGCAGCAGGACCAGCAGCAGUUCCCCUUCACCGAAGGCAAGUAUAACAUGGGUUUCCCUUGUACAACUAUUCACUUAAUUAAUUACACAUCUGCAUGUGUCUAAUUUUGAUAACCCUAAGGACACCCUAGCUACCUGACUAUAUAUUUAUGACACCUAUGGGUAGAAUGCAUGUGGGUAGCUUUGCUAGUGCUUUAAUUAAAUGAGACUUUAUUAUCACUCAGACUAUAAUGAAUAUGAUGACAAAUGUUGAGAAAAAGGGCUAGGGUGCAACUGACUUCGGUCAGGUUGACCUAGACCCUCCGUAAGGACUUCUCUAUAAGCGACUAUCCGGGACAUACAGUGCAACCGUGAUGGUUAUAUGGCUCUAACUUUAGCUCAGUAAUAGGAUCUCAUCUAGCUGGUUAGAGGUUACUCGAAAGGGCACAAGAGGGGCUUGCCACUUUGGGUAUAGAACUGCUUCUAUUCCUAUGUGUAUAGCCGUGAUGGAAAUGUGCCAUAGGAAAGGGGGGUUCUCUAUAUCUGCCUGCCGAGGAAACCUCGCGGCCCUAACUGGUUAGACGUGGCCUAUGGAAGGCUUCAUAGUGUUCCUUGCCCGCUCACCUUGGCAGUGUGUUGACGGUCCUUAAGUACUAAAAUUAAUAAUCAAAUAAACAUGAAAAAGGAUCAAUAUGAAACAAACAUCUAGAAUUAGGGUUUUAUCUGACAGAAUUCCACGAGUUUUGGUGUUUAUCUAUUUCUACAGGGGUUUAUCAGAAAAUAUGGAGAGAAGGCCCACAUGUCAUGUUUACAACGAGAUAAUUACGUGCCGCGCAAUUUUCCUCAAUCUAGCAGAAUACAGAAGCCAUGGGAACGAACGAGAAGGGAUUUGGGCUCGGGGGCAGGGCGCCCGCCACCCCCCUUGGGCGCCCGCCCAGGGUAGGAGUCCAAUCAGGACUCUGCUUCGGGACAACGCUCCACCGACCUAAAGGAUCAAUCUAAACUAUACAAUCUAUGUCGGUUUGAUCCAAUGGCUCACGUUCACUUGAGGGGACUAUAAAACCAGACCCCCUGGCCCCUGGAGGAGAGGAGGAGAAAUCAAUAUUCAGAGGUAGCCAUCAAAGUUAGGGUUUAGAGCUUCUCUCCCACAGAGAAUUAGAAUUAGCUACUCCCUAAUCCUUCAAGUUUAGAGGUUGAUUAGAUAGCAAUUAGAGAAGUAGAGCACUACGCUCUGGAUUCGAAUCUUCGGUAAUAAAGAUUGGUAUUAUUCAUAUAUUUCUCUAAUUCUAUUGUUCUAAUUGCAUUAUGUCUCUAAUUAUUAUGUUCUUAGUUUGCUCUAGUUCUAUAUUUGAUAUAGUUCUAAUUGAUAAUGAGUUUAUGUAUAAGUUUGCAAAGCGCUUAGCUCUUGACGCGAGGGAGUUAGGUGAUAGAUCACAUGUGAGCGUGGUGCUUAGAUGUUAUUUAUCUGCAAAUGUAUCCUAUUGGCUGGGUCGUGUGGUAGUUCGCGAUAGUGACAGCUUCGUUGAUUCUUAUAUAGUCCACCCUCUGUUGAUAGGACAGGCAGAACCGGUAUUGUGGAGUAAGUCAUGCGAUGCUCUGAUUUACUUUAUCAAUGUUCCUUAUACAUGAAUGAAGAGUCUUUUAUGCUAUAUAUGAUCUUGUAGAUAACUAGAGUAGAUUAUGACUUAGUAGUUAGUAGAUAACUUAGAAUCCAUUCUCUAGCUAAUCCGACAUCACCUACAUAUAUGAGGAGUAGUCUAUUUUCUAAUCGCUGUGUUAUCUACCCAUGAACUUGUAAUUCAUUAUCAUUAUCUUUAUGGUUUACUCCGUGCUAAAGUAUGUGACUGUGUGACGAGUUUCUCAUUAGUAAUCAUGUUCUUGCAAGUUUAUCUCUAGUCUAUGCCUUGAUAGAUUUUGCCCCCUUGAUUUAAUUUCUUUUUCUUGAGAUCCCUUGAGCAAAAUUAUAAAUAACGAUACCUGGAAUACUUAUCCUGGUGAAAUGCUACAAUGAGGUGUUUUAUCUGUGCGCUUGCGGAUAGAAUAGAUUAUUUUCUAGAGAGCCUUUACAUUUAUAAAUACCUUUGUACACUCUGGCGCCAUGCUAGGGAUGACAACCUAGUAUCUAAGUGGUGUUAGCUAGUGUCAACAAGCAUUUCUGGCGCCGUUGCCGGGGAACUUAUAGGAAUUUAUACGAGUCUCAGGAAUAAGUCAUAAAAGGGAACAAAAGGGUAACACAUAGAAACGGUAAGGAAAGCCAGAAAAUCAAUCAAGGUUAUUCAUAUAAAAUAUUAGACUAGACUAUAGAGAAAUAAUUGCACAAAAACAGCUACUAAGUGAGAAAUCAUAACAAGGCACCUCUGCUUUGGCAGGUUCACCCUGUUGUUUUUCUAUGUUUAUAUUUUUAUACAGGGUAUUGUUGAUAUUUGGUAACGCAAUUAGAAAAUGAUCCGCAAGCGCACGGAUAUCGGUGAGCAUUUCACCCGGGAGGUUAUCCAGAGUUAUCGUAUUUAUAUUUUUACCACUGGGAGAAAGGGUGCAUCUGACUAACCAAAUCUAUUGCUACUAUCCCUUUAAGCUUCAAAGAAUGUUUCUCGAUGUGAGCGAUGUAUAAAGAAGACUGCAACCGUAGUCUCGUUCUAACCUUGGUAAGGAUGAUCUACUGUUCUAUUGGGGAGGCUCACGGAAUCUAGACAACACAAAGGAUGUUCGACCCGUACCUAUAAACCUACCCGUCCUACUAACAAGAUAUGGGAUACAAAGGUAACUUGGAAAUGUCACGUUCCUCGCUACUACCACGGUCCAGCUAGUCAGGGGAUAUGAGUACCCUAGCCUAAACACCACGUUUACGCUAGCAAUGAUUACUCUAAUACUCAACCGGAAGAGGAUUAAAGUAAACUCAUAAACCAAAGAACAAUAAAACAAGAACUUACUAGAAUUAGAAGUCGAAUUACUGAAGAAUCUUAGAAGCAAGCCUCGGGUUAGGAGACUUGAUCCCGUAGGUACAACUCGGACUAGACACCGACAGGCCGGCCUUCCUCCGAUCUACACCUCCACUCUAUCUCUCUCAAUCUAGUAGAAACUAGAAGAUCUAUUUCUACUUACAUUGGUUGCUAAGCCUAAAAAGAAAUAUUAUUUAGAGAAGAGGUUUUCCUUCGAGGGCACCCCUCAAUCUCUAUGAUAACUUCUUGUCUCCUCCAGGGGCCAGGGGCCUUGCUUAUAUAGUCCUCCUCCUCUGUGCGUUUUUGGUUCAGCAGGCGAUGUGGUACUAAACUUUCCACCAUAUCUCAUUAAAAUGCACAUAGGCCUUAAUGGACCAAAAUCUGAUUUGGGCCCAAUUAAUCCCGCAGCUCUUUUAUGUGGAGUCCUUCUUUUAUUAAUAUCUCUUGAUUCCGAACUCCAAAUAUAGCAAAUAAUAUAUGCAUUUCGAUCAGCUCGACGAGACCUUUGCAAUGGUGUACUCCAUUCUGUGAUUGGUGGAAACACCUGGGCGGGCGCCCAAGGGGGGUGUUCGGGCGCCCUGCCCCCGGGCCCGUUUGCCUUCUCGUUCGUUCCCGUGGCUUCUGGAGUCUUCUAGAUGAUAGAAAACUGUGCGGCACAUUAAUAUCUCUAUGUAAUCCCGACGUGUGGGCCUUUCUUCCAUAUUUCCUGAUAACUCCCUGUAGAAAUAGACAAACACCAAAACUCGUGGAAUUCUGUCAGAUAAAACCCUAAGUCUGGGUGUUGGUUGCAUUUGGAUCCUUUUCUUUAUUUAUUUGAUGAUUAUAUUUGGUACUUAAGGACCGUCAACAACUCCCCCAAGCUUACCUCCUGCUCGUCCCUGAGCAAGGAUGGACUCAAGAGUUUCUGCAGUGGUUUUAUGCCUUAAAAAUACACAUGCGUUCAAUCAAGAUCUCAUCUCUGAGUUAGAGUAAACUGUUAAGACUUAAAACUUACUCAUUUUACCUUUCACCAUGGGUCUUGCAACCGUCACUUGUGUCUUGAGCAGUUAAAAGAUAGAACGGUCAAGUCAAGCGCCAUGUCUCUUAUUCUUGAUCAGCUAUAGCUCUGGAGUUUUUUGCAGAUUUUGAAAUAAAACUCAGAGAUUCCUUAUAUGACUCUCUCAAUUCUCUCUUUUGUGGUAUUUCUGGAUCUUUACCAAGGCAGUAAUGGUGUAUGCCUUCUCUCAAAGUAUGUGGUAUUUUUGGUAUAAUGCAUAGUGAUAUUACCUUCUCUCUCACCCUGCUCUAAUAAGGUUUUGAUAUCUGGAGCUCAUAGGUGGGAGACAGCUAAUACAUACUUACAAGACAUUUAUUGCAUAGUCAAACCAUGGAUCCAGAGAAACAAGUCAAUAAGUCAAAUCAAGAUGUGCAUGUGUGGCGAGUGAACGGUGUAUGGUGAUGAUGGUGAUAACAAUGGUGAAAGUCUAAUUCUACUUUUCCUCUUUUGAGGGGAUACAUACCUUUCUUGCACUUUGAAGCUUUUUGGGGAGAAUGAGAUGCUCUAUAUUUUCUUUUUCUUUCCUCUCAGGUGGGUAUCUUGUACCCGUAAUUCUACUAUCGGACACUUGUCCAUUUUUACCUCUCGUCUCAUUUUUUCUUUUCUUCGAGGUUCCGGGCACUUGCCCCUUUUUAUUUCCUCGUAUUAUUUUUUUUCUUCUUUUUUUAGAGCACUCAUCUCCUUAAAUAAUAUAGCAAGUGGUAGUAACCAAGAUAACUCGAGCAUUUAUUUCACAGGGAAUAACAGGGAUAGGAUAAUGUUUUUGGCUAUUCUCUCCCAGAUUAGGAGUAGAAUAAUUUUGGGUGAAUCUGGAGAUGGAAAUGAGUGGAUAUAUGUGGACGGUACUUCCGGAGUAGAAGUAGCAUGUAUGAGUGAACGUGCAAGUGAAUCUUGAUUUUAACCACAUGACAAGCUCCUAAGGGUCUACACAGCUUGACCACACUCAAUGCUCAUAAGCAGUAAAAAGUAAAUGUGUGGCUCAAAGUCUAGCAAGCAUGUAUAUAUGGCUGUGGUAGGAUCUUAAACUCUCAUCAUACAGGAACUCAUCAUGUGAUAUUUUAAAGAUUUUUCAAAGAUAAAAUUCUCCAGAAUUCUAGCAUCUCUAGGAAUAGAUAAACAGCAGCUCAACCUUCCCAUAUCGUAUCCGUUAACAACUUAGACUUUAGAUCAAGUACUCUUCCCACAAGUUCAGGUUUAGAGCAAAUCUUACUUCAUAACAGUCAUGCCUAAACUUGAGAGAGAUUUCAAUUUUAAGAACUAGUCAUGGCAGAGCAACUAUUCAUCAUUUCCAUGUGAGAGCUUAUCAUGAGGGUUUAUAGCAAACUUUAUUUAUUUAUUUAUUUAGCAAACUAAGCAAAGAUAUAUAUAAAAGCACAAAAUCUUUAUUUGGGUUUUUUAUGAUUAUGCAUCUUUUUAUUAUUUGAGUAAAGUAUAAACGCGAGUAGAAACACUUAGCUAGAUAAAUGGGGGUGCUCUCCCCCAAGCUGGAUUUUGACGUAAUUUCUUCUGAUGUAGCUAGCAGGUGAUGGAGGUGUAUUUGAAAGUCGGCAGCACCCUGACAGCGAUUAGGAUGUCCUCCGUCUGCUAGUCUUCUUUGAUCCUUGAAUUCUGUGGAGCUCAAAUAGACAACAUAGCUUUGUGAAACUGGUUAAUUGUUAGCAUAAAUAUCUAGCCUUUAUCAUGUUGAGCCUCCUCAAUAAACGUUACUUAUUUAGCAGGAUCAUGCACUUAUUAUUUUUAUAUAUUUAUUGUAAGAUGAAAACAUAUUUAUUUUAUGCCACCACAGUCAAUAUACCUAUGGGUUUUAUGCCAUGAGCAUACUCACAUGGGGCUUACUAUUUUUUAACAUUUUUAUUUUCUUUUCAAGAUAGCAUGAACCUGAUUAACUAAGCAAACUAUAAUUGAAUAAUUGAAGGGAAAAAGAUAACUACCAAGUUUACCUCUUGGCAAGACGUUCGGUGUUUUUAAGUCCUCCGAACGAGACUCCUUGUGUUUUCUCAGUCGUCCUGGGAUUCGUUGGAUGGCGUAGUCGGUGGUUCCGGCGACGCCUCCUCUUCGUGUAUAACUAUCUUCUCUCUCCACAUCUGACUCGGUGCUACGGUCUCCACAGGACAGUUCUGUUCAAGUUGUAUGUCUUCAGACCUUAUCACUUCUCCAUCGUAGUCUACCCAUCCGUCCUUGAUGAUUUGCCUCCUCUGGUUGCGGUUGCGUUGUCUUCUUCUUGUCCUGACCUGCUUAGAAUCUUCAACUAUAUAGUUAGAAUCAUUAAAGUAGUGGCGUACCUUCUCAGUGGGGAAGUGCAUGUGGACUUCUCCGGUUCCAAUAUAGAUGAUGGCUUUGAUAGUGUUUGAGGAACGGUCAUCCAAGGAUGGUAGGUAGAUCAUACUCGUCUUCUCCCAUGUCAAUGUUCUGAAAAUCAUCUAGAGCUGAAUAUAUAUUGGUUGUAGGGGCAUGGUUCCAUGCAGGAGCUGAUAAGUGACUGCGGUCAUUAUGUUGACGUCAGAUCCGGUGUCAUAGAGUGUCUUCUGAAAAGAGUAUCCAUUGAUUAUGCACUCGAUGCUUGGAACACCAAGGUCGUCCUUCUUGAUCAGGAAAGGCGACUUGAGUCGACGAUCUUGACUUCCUCCGACAAGGAUCCAAUGUUUUAAGUCUUCUGGACAAGACUUCUCACCGUCUUCAUCCUUUAGGUGCAUCAUUUGAUUAGGUGUGGACCUUGACGCCUGCACUUCUUGAUACGGUGUCACCCAUGUUCUUCGUUUGUCUAGCAGUUUGAAGUGCAGUGUUGGCAAUAUCCUGCUUAGUGUGUUUGUGCUCAUAGAUCCAAGUCCUUCACUUGGUGGAGUCUGGGAGUUGUAAAACUCCUCCAUGUUUUGUUCGAAGUGUACCUAUUCAUAGAGACAAGGCAGAGAUCAAGUGCAUGGGCCCUGUUGGUGGAAAACACCAACAGAACCAAAAGUGUAUUUGUUCGUCUCUAACCUUAAGCAUAGUGAGCAAGACAAAGUUGAUGGAUCAUGAGUGUAGCAUUUAAAACAUUUGUUAGAUCAGAUGGCUCAACCUAAUGGAAAGAUAAUAUAUCUAUAUUUAUGUUUUGUUUAUAUCUUCCAAAGAUUGAAUGUGCAACAUUUUAGCUUAUAUGAUUACGAGUGUGGGAUCACGAAGGUAGUACUAAGAACAAAGAUUAAAGGACUAAACAUGUUGAAUUAAUUAAGUUGGUUAAUUAGGAGUUACAGAUCAUACAUGUUUGUCUCUUUAUUUUAUGUGAACGCCAGAACCAAGGAGAAGCUUAUAAAAGUGAUAGUCAAGUACCUUAAAUUGUUACCUUACUUGAAGAGUGACGGUACAGUAUCACCUUGUAGAAGCUUUCCUUUCUUAGCGGUUGUGCAUCGUGUUUGUGGCACCCUCCAUGAAUCAUCUCUUAUGAGCUACGUCUUCAUGUGUCACUUUCUUCAUCUCCAAUUUUAGUUUAUCUCAAGACUUCCCAGGUUGAUAUUGAAAGUUUUCCUGCAGGGGUUAGUCCAACAAAAUAUACCAAUAUCUACUCAAGCAGUUUUUUAGUUCAGUAACCAAACUAGACUCCAUGUCUAAUCAGAUUAAGGAAGGCUAUUUAACCUAAGCACCAUGCUUAAUUUAAAUGCCAAUGGAAGUAUGUCGAGUACUUCCAAACCAACACUUACUAGGAUAAACAAAGGUAGCAUGAUGGCAUUUAUAGAGAUCUACUCAAGUGGAGAUGAAGUAGUGUGAUUAGUAUUUAACAAAUCAAGCGUGUUUCAAAGGUAGGAACAACCAACAUAGCAACAUGGCAAAGGAUGUUUUUAUGUAAAGUACUCCCCCAAGCUUGAAUUUUGCGAAAUUCAAGUUUGGAUGAAUUUAAUUCAAUGUUGUAUGAUGGUUGGUUGGACAUACCUUGUGCUUGUCAUUCAUCUGAUCUUCUUGCUCCAAUCUGGAAAGGUUAGUGGCAAGAAUACCCGAAGGAAUAUUUCUACAAUUAUCUCAAUAUGCUCAAUACACAAGGCAAUGUUGCAAAUAAUUUCAUGUUACGAUCUGAUAAGUGCUUGUUUAAGGACGCUAAGCUUAUCCUUGGGAAACCAUCAAGUUAUGUUGGUGAAGUGGUUUCCCCUACCUAUAUCAAGAUCAACUCAACGAGAUCUGCAAUAUUUAUUAUAGACAUAUGCAUCGACAACCGCCCUUUUAAAGUUUUUAUAAAUAGAAAGGAAGAGGGGGUUGGAGAUCUCAAAUGCAGUGAUGUUGGAGAGACCAAUUGAUUGGGGAGAUGUUUUAUAUGAGCAAGGACUUGGUGAGGUAUUUAUGAAAUAACUUCCAUGCUCACUGUUGUUUAUCUCAUUCUCAAACUCCAAGGAUGAUUCUUCAUGAAUGCUUAAAAUUCCUCUAGGAUUGUCUCUCAAGUUUGUUUUAUCCAUCCAUUCAAUGGUGAUAGCACAUGGAUUUUUAAUGCCCUCUAGCCAUCGAUGUUGCUCUUCUCGAUCCUCCUUCUUAUGCAUGGGAUGUCUAGAAAGAUUCAUAGGAUUAUCGGGAGGUUCAAGAGAAAGAGCAUAGUAGAAAUUAUUAGGCUCAAGGAUGGGUUGGAUAGCCGAAUCAUGGGAUUGGAAUGUUUGGAAAUUGGCUAUUGAAACUUCCUUUCCUCGUCUGGGAGAUGAUUCGUUCUCUAUCUCUAAGAUUUUUCUAUGAAGACUAGUGAAAGAAGGAUGUCCACAAAUGAAGACAUACCUUCCUUUACUAAUAGAUAAAGAAUGAAAGACUCUACCAAUGGUUAUAUAAUUAAGACCAAUGUGAAAAUAUCAAGAAAAAACAGGGUCUUGUAGGCCUAGGUCUAAACCAGAAUUUAUAGAAAGAUUAAAAGAUUCCCUAGGUGUAGCUAAAAGUGCAUUAUCUUCUUGAUUAAAAGAUAGGACCUCGGCUAUAGAAAAGGGUUGGUUUUGACCUAUUGCAAUCAACUCCGGACACAGAUCAUAAUUAGGGGCAGGACGUGUUGACUCCCAUGGUCUAUGGCUGGUCUCCGAAGGUGCAAAGAAUUCAAUAAUAGGUAUGGAAUUUGAGUUAUCCAUAAAGAUAAAAAUAAAAGAUAAAAGAAUAAAAUUAUAAAAGUAUAAUACAAGAUAAUAGCAAGACUCAAAGUUAUCUCACCAAACCGUCUUUCUCUCCGGCAACGGCGCCAGAAAUGCUUGUUGAUAUUUGGUAACGCAAUUAGAAAAUGAUCCGCAAGCGCACGGAUAUCGGUGAGCAUUUCACCCGGGAGGUUAUCCAGAGUUAUCGUAUUUAUAUUUUUACCACUGGGAGAAAGGGUGCAUCUGACUAAUCAAAUCUAUUGCUACUAUCCCUUUAGGCUACAAAGAAUGUUUCUCGAUGUGAGCGAUGUAUAAAGAAGACUGCAACUGUAGUCUCGUUCUAACCUUGGUAAGGAUGAUCUACUGUUCUAUUGGGGAGGCUCACGGAAUCUAGACAACACAAAGGAUGUUCGACCCGCACCUAUAAACCUAACCGUCCUGCUAACAAGAUAUGGGAUACAAAGGUAACUUGGAAAUGUCACGUUCCUCGCUACUACCACGGUCCAGCUAGUCAGGGGAUAUCUAUGAGUACCCUACCCUAAACACCACGUUUACGCUAGCAAUGAUUACUCUAAUACUCAACCGGAAGAGGAUUAAAGUAAACUCAUAAACCAAAGAACAAUAAAACAAGAACUUACUAGAAUUAGAAGUCGAAUUACUGAAGAAUCUUAGAAGCAAGCCUCGGGUUAGGAGACUUGAUCCCGUAGGUACAACUCGGAGUAGACACCGACAGGCCGGCCUUCCUCCGAUCUACACCUCCACUCUAUCUCUCUCAAUCUAGUAGAAACUAGAAGAUCUAUUUCUACUUACAUUGGUUGCUAAGCCUAAAAAGAAAUAUUAUUUAGAGAAGAGGUUUUCCUUCGAGGGCACCCCUCAAUCUCUAUGAUAACUUCUUGUCUCCUCCAGGGGCCAGGGGCCUUGCUUAUAUAGUCCUCCUCCUCUGUGCGUUUUUGGUUCAGCAGGCGAUGUGGUACUAAACUUUUCACCAUAUCUCAUUAAAAUGCACAUAGGCCUUACUAGACCAAAAUCUGAUUUGGGCCCAAUUAAUCCCGCAGCUCUUUUAUGUGGAGUCAUUCUUUUAUUAAUAUCUCUUGAUUCCGAACUCCAAAUAUAGCAAACAAUAUAUGCAUUUCGAUCAGCUCGACGAGAUCUUUGCAAUGGUGUCUUCUAGAUGAUAGAAAAUUGUGCGGCACAUUAAUAUCUCUAUGUAAUCCCGACAUGUGGGCCUUUCUUCCAUAUUUCCUGAUAACUCCCUGUAGAAAUAGACAAACACCAAAACUCGUGGAAUUCUGUCAGAUAAAACCCUAAGUCUGGGUGUUGGUUGCAUUUGGAUCCUUUUCUUUAUUUAUUUGAUGAUUAUAUUUGGUACUUAAGGACCGUCAACAGGUAUAACAGGAUUGACUUUGGGUACAUUGAACUCUUCAUCAUCAGAACCAAAGCAAUCAAGAGAAGAAGAAGCUAGCUACCAAUUGCUGAAGCUAUGGCACAAAAGACCUUGCAAGAAUUCUCUGCUCCAAGUCUUGACAACAUUCCAACCGGUCCAAGAUUUGCAGUAGAAGAAGGAAUACCCGAGUUUGAGCUCAAGUUAAGCCUCAUCAAUUUGGUGCAAGCUACACAAUUUAGUGGAAAGGCACAUGAAGAUGCUAGUGCACACUUGCAGAAUUUCUUAGAGAUUGGAAGCACAAUCCACAUCAACGGAGUUGACAAAGAUGUCAUACUACUUCGUCUUUUUCCAUUCUCACUAGAAGGAAAAGCGAGGAAGUGGUUCUACACUCAUCAAGAUAACAUCAACAACUGGACGAACUUGUCAGAUGCCUUUCUAUCAAAGUUUUUCCCUAUAGGCAAAACAACUGCCUUAAGAGGAAAUAUUGUCAGUUUCCAACAACAGAAGACAGAAGCCAUUUCAGAAGCAUGGGAGCGUUUUCAAGGAUACAUAUCAGAUUGUCCUCACCAUGGAAUGGCCAUAUGGUUACUUAUGCAGACCUUCUACCAUGGAUUAACCCAGAAGGCUCCUGAGUGCCUAGAUGCAUCUGCUAAAGGAUCAUUCUUGGAGCUUACAACUGGAAAAGCAGAGAUACUUUUGGAUAAGAUAGCAGAAAACCAAAGCUGGUUCCAAGAUAAAGCUCAACAAUGUCAUCAAACUGAAGAAAUACCAGAAGAAGUAAAUGCAUUAUCAACUAAGAUCGAAAAUUUGCUCCAUUGGAUUGACCAGAGGGCCAAGUUCAAAGAAGAUCAAAGGGCCAUUGAGACAGCAUACAAAUAUCAACCAACUUCGAGUCAACCCAAUAGCAAAGGUAUGAAUUCAGGUAAUACUGUCAAACAACUUUCAUUAAAAGAGAUAAUUGCUCAACAAACCAAAAUUAAUGAUGAAGUUAAACAAAGGCUAGAUACAAAUGAAUCAUCUCUAAAAGAUAUAUACAAUAAAAUGGAUUUUCUACUAACUGCCUUUGAUGAGCAAAACACUCUUAAUAAAAGGGUAGAGCUUAAAUUAAUAAAAUUAGCUGCUGCACUGCCUGUUGCUACUAACCUUGAGCAGGUAAAGAAUAUAACUACUAGAGGAGGCAAAGCUACCAGAGAUCCACCAUACCCAAAAGAGAAACAAAGAACAUUAGCACCAGUGCAACCAGCAGUGAUAGAAGAAGAAAUCCCAGUUGAAGCAGAAGACCUGCUCCAACCACCAAGAACUGGAGAAAUGAGGAAAGAUUUUUACGACACCAACUAUUUGCCAUUUCCCAGAAGAAACAGAGGACUGCAGUCUGAUGAGCAGUUUGGUAAGUUUGUAGAGGUCAUUCAGAAAUUAUAUGUCAACAUACCUCUGCUGGAUGCCAUACAGGUACCUACAUAUGCAAAGUACAUCAGAGAUAUUCUUAACAAGAAGAGACCACUGCCCACCACUGAGGUUAUCAAGCUGACAGAAGAAUGUAGUGCGGCCAUCCUCAAUAAACCACCAAAGAAGAAGGAAGAUCCUGGAUGUCCCACUAUUGAUUGCUCGAUCGGAAACCAACACUUCAACAAUGCACUUUGUGAUCUCGGAGCAAGUGUCAGUGUGAUGCCAGCAUUAGUCUACAAAAAGCUUGAUCAUGCAGCCUUAGAACCAACAUCAAUGUGCCUACAACUAGCGGAUCAAUCGGUUCGACACCCCUUGGGCAUCGCCGAGAACAUUUCAGUCAAGAUCAGAGAUUUCCUGGUGCCAGUAGACUUCGUAGUACUAGACAUGAGUCCUGACUCAAACGUGUCCAUCAUCCUUGGAAGGCCAUUUCUGAGCACUGCCAAUGCCACAUUGAUGUCGGAAAAGGAGAAAUCAAGUUCAACAUAAACGGUCAAGAAGAACACUUCACAUUCAAACCCAGACCAGAAAGAGACUCUACAGUGAAGGAAUUUCAUGAAGAACCACUGGAGACACCAUCUCCAGAGGAAGGUAAUUGAAGAUUAAAAGAAUUGGAGGUCCAGCUUGGGGGACCUAAAAAUCCCAAACCCUCACCGGGAGGUAAAUCGGUAAUUAUCCGCAUUAUUAAUUUUCUCAUAUUUAAAUUCUUGCAUAAUUAAUUCUUGCAUUAGUCAUGGCAUUAUUAUAAUAAUCAAAAAAGCCCCGUAUAAAUAAUAUUCGUGGUGUGUAACAACCCAUAUUUAUUAAUUAUUGUGGAGGCACAAAAAUAUUUUCCAUUAUCAUUUUAAUUAAGUUUUAAUAGAUUUUCCUGCAUUAUAUUUAAUUAUAUUAAUCUUCUAGAAGCAUGACCCACACUCCUUGGGUCCCACAUGCCAUACACCACACCUCACAUACAUCCCAUCACAUAAUUUCAUCCACCAAUAUGUUUCCACUCACCAGACAUCUUUCCAUCAUCCAACAACCACCACACAACAUUAUUCUGCGUGAGAUCAAAGCAAGGAAGCAAGUGGAGGAGGCACACCCAGGAUGGACACCAGGAGUGGGCGCCCGCCCACCUACCAAGGGCGCCCGCCCUGCUCCCUCUUCCUCCUAUAAAAGGCCACCUCCAGCUCCCCUUCUCUUCACACAAACACUCUAGAAAACCACACAAGCCUCAGUUUCCCGAGAAGGAGUUCUUGUAGUGAAGAGAAAAGAGUAGAGAGAAAGAGAAGAGUGGAAGAGAAGGUUGGGAGUUCUUUUGAGAGAGUGAUUAUCACCUAGCAAGUAGUGAUCCCGUUGUCUAAGCGGAAGUAAAAGUUGUUUAGGGGAAGCUCUACCAAAAUAGAAAUUUAGCUUGAACGAUUAACCCCUGGACUACUGACACUCCGGACAGCUGACCACUAACAUUUUAUCUCACAUUUUCCACUAGUUGUGUUUUUUUCUCCAAUUUUUGUUUACAGGAUGUUUAAGAAGGUGAAGAAUGCAGGAAGAGCUCUCAAGAACAUUGGUACAAGGAGUUCAGCUCGACACUCCUCACAGCCAUCAGAGAUGAGCGUCGACCCGACACCCACACAAGCUCCAUCAUCUUCAUCAGGUCAGCAAGUUAAGGUCCUUCUCAAGAUAGGAGACCUUGGACUGAAGACCCGAAGAGAGAAGGAAGUCUAUCAGCAAUUGAAGAACAAAGAUUUCAUUCACACCCCUACUAUCGAUCCAAUCUUACUACAAGAAACAGGUAUGGACACUGAAUUUGACUUAAUUUUCCAGAUGUUAGGUUGGAUAAAUUUUUGGAAUAUAACUGAGCUGGGUUCUCGUCUUCUCACCCUUGAAUUUCUUUGCACUUUACAAUAAUAUGAGGGGGGAAUUGUUUUUCGGAUGUUUAAACAAGAAAUUAUGUUAUCUUGAAGAGAACUGAGCGACCAUCUUGGUUUCUCUUCAAGAUGCAUCCUGAACAUUGACUCCGAUUUACCCAAUUUUGAGAGACACCAGUUUUGGAGAGAAAUAUCUAGAGAUAAUUUUUACAGUCAAGCCCGAACCAGUGACAUGGAACACCCUAUUCUUAGGAUGUUCCACAAAUGGCUUGGGUACAAUCUUUUCUAUCGUGAUGAUAUUAGGAAAGUAAGAGUAGGAGAUUUACAACUUUUAUAUGCUACUAUUAGUAAAAUACCCACUUCACCUGUUACACUAUUAGUUUCACAUUGGCUUAGUAUACCUAGUCUUCAGGGACCAGUAGGAUGUACUUCACUUAUCACUCGUCUAGCUUCUAAUCUUCACUUACUAGAAAACUCAUCGUUGGAUUUCAUAGAAGAAUUAAGAAUUUAUCAUGGCUAUGACACAUUUAGACAAGCUCGGAUGUUAAAGAAAGAGGGAAAUGUAAUGUAUAUGCUAUAUGAUGAUAAAGGCAAGAUUCGGUUACCUAACCCGAGCCUUGGCCUCUACGUUGUGCAAAACUUUUUGAUUGAGAUUGCAGCAACACCAGUGAACCAGAGAACUCCACAGCGAGUGGCUUCCGAAAGGAUAACCACUCACCGAGAACGCACCUGGUAUGGAGCUGACCCUAGACCAGAAGAAGCAGCGCACCUGCAUUAUUGCGAUUACAACCCUCGAGUCCUUCGAGACCCAUGGGCUCGACAUGCGCAACCACAAGAGCCAACAGAAGAGACAUGGCCGGAGAGCCAAGAUCACCAGUGGACAAACCCGCCUUUUCAUACGGGCAGGUACUCCACUGAUCCAUACGGAGCUUCGGGAUCCAGACGUCCGCCCCAAUUUGAUGCAGGAUGAUACUCCGACGCCUCCUACGCUUUCACAAAUGACUACUAUCAAGAGGCCGGUGCUUUCUUCACUCGUACCGACAACACCCUCCUCGACAUCCAGAAUACGCAAGCAGAACAUGGAAGACUCCUGGAAGAACAACAAAAAUGGAACCAGGACCAUGCAGCUGCAGUAGAAGAGCUGAGACAAGAUACAACAACAAUGAACGAUAACAUUACAACCAUGAUGCGGUUCUGGAACAUCGGGUAAGACCGACGGCAACAUCCAGCUUGGGGGAGUUCCUCCCCAAUUUAUCAAGUAAGUUUCUAUUUACUCUUCUUAUUUAUUCUUUUCUAUUUUAUCUUAAGGAGAAAAAAAAAUUAGAAAACCAAAUAAAUAUUUUCUUGCUUUAAUUUACUGCAUUUUAAUAAACAUGAAAACAAAAUAAAAAGAGUGUGUAGAUAAGUGUGCUUUAUUUUUCUGCUAAGUUUAAUCUCUAAAAUAAAAUAUAUAUAUAUAUAUAUAAAGACCAAAAAUAUGCAUGAUGGAAAUGAUGAACAAUUGCUCUGUUUGCUUACUUACAAGUACCUAGCUUUUAUAUUAGAAUUCUUCUAGGAAUUACUAAAACUAAAAUUACUAUCUUUGGGAAGCAUAAAACUAAAGUCUAGGUAAGAGAAAGGCAUGAUAUAAAGUUGAGCUACUGUUUAUCCUGUUUCUACUACACUAAGUUCUGGAGAUUUAUUUUGAAAACUUACAAAUCACAUGAUGAGUUCCUAGCAUACAAAACUACCUACCACAGCCAUACUUGCUAUAACAUCUUUUACUAUAUUCACAUUGAGUUUGAUCGAGCUGUGUAGACCCUUAGGAGCUUUUUAUGUGGUUAAAUUAAGAUAUUCACUUGCACACAUCGACCACAGCAUCCAUCAUCAAUUAUUAAAAUUGCUAAAAAUAUUUUUACUCACUGUCCCGAAUAUUGUUAUUCUCUCUCUAAAAAGAUUCAAUGCAGAAGAGGCAUGGGUUAUGCAAAAAUAUGCGAGGAAAUAAAAAGGGGCAAGUGCCCGGAACCUCGAUAAAGAAAGAAAAAGAGUGAGACGAGAGGUAAAAAUGGACAAGUGUACGAAGUAGAAUUAGGGGUACAAAGAUGCCCACUUGAAUUAGGGGUAUCUACUACCCACCUGAAAAAAAAAAGAGAAAAAAGAAAGAAAAGAUAGCCCAUGUUUUCCAAAAGCAAAGAUCAAAGAAGAGGAGAGAUAGCAAUAUGAGGAGCAAUGAGAACUAAGUUUUAUUAACACUUAUACAUUUUCACCAUCACUAUCAUUUACUCCACCACACAUGCACAUUUUGAUUUAAUUAUAUGCUGAGUUCCUUUGGAUCCAUGGCUCGAUUAGACAAUAUAUGUAUGAGCUGUUUUUCACUCCUAUGAGCUCCACUUAAAUAUUCCAUUAGCUAUAGUUAAGUGACAUUAUGGUAAGGAUCCACAAAUACCACAUAUAGAGAGACUUGAGAGAAUCAUUGCUGGGAACUCUGAGUUUUAUUUUGAAAACUUAUAAAAAACUCUAGAACAAAGGUGAAGUAUAGACAGGAGGGAUAGUGCUUGACUUAACUAUUUUGUCUUUCGAUUACUUAAGACUUAAGUGUAGGUUCUAAACUCCAUAACACUUCACUCUAAUCUGGAAGAGUUUUAUGUAAAAGCAUGUGUGCCUGUCAGGAAAGAAAACAUCGAAGCAACUCCUGAUCCGUCUGAGUUUAGCUGUUUGCUCAGGGACGAGCAAGGGGUAAGCUUGGGGGAGUUUGUUGACGGUCCUUAAGUACUAAAAUUAAUAAUCAAAUAAACAUGAAAAAGGAUCAAUAUGAAACAAACAUCUAGAAUUAGGGUUUUAUCUGACAGAAUUCCACGAGUUUUGGUGUUUAUCUAUUUCUGCAGGGGUUUAUCAGAAAAUAUGGAGAGAAGGCCCACAUGUCAUGUUUACAAUGAGAUAAUUACGUGCCGCGCAAUUUUCCUCAAUCUAGAAGAAUCCAGAAGCCACGGGAAUGAACGAGAAGGGAUUCGGGCUCGGGGGCAGGGCGCCCGCCCACCCCCCUUGGGCGCCCGCCCAGUGUAGGAGUCCAAUCAGGACUCUGCUUCGGGACAACGCUCCACCGACCUAAAGGAUCAAUCUAAACCAUACAAUCUAUGUCGGUUUGAUCCAAUGGCUCACGUUCACUUGAGGGGACUAUAAAACCAGACCCCCUGGCCCCUGGAGGAGAGGAGGAGAAAUCAAUAUUCAGAGGUAGCCAUCAAAGUUAGGGUUUAGAGCUUCUCUCCCACAGAGAAUUAGAAUUAGCUACUCCCUAAUCCUUCAAGUUUAGAGGUUGAUUAGAUAGCAAUU